rnacentral:lncRNA from 1 species
UACAUAACCAAAGAAAACUAAACAGAAAUGGAACAAAAAAAAAAAAAAAAACUACACAAGCUCUCAAUCAAAAUUGAAGAUCUAUUGAUCAAAAUCCCAUCCUAUGCUAAGAUCCCAGUUAGCCCUAUGUCAAGGCUCCCCAGCCGCCAAUGAGCGACGGGUCAUACAACUUCUACACGUACGUGGUCCAUGCGAUGAUAAAGUUUUUUUUUGCAUCACUAAAUCCGUAGCAUGAUCAUUGACUGGACUACGUAGUUCCGGGAAUUAUGCAGUUGAAAUUGUUUUUCAAACGUGAGGUAUUGUUCCAGGUUAUGUUGUCAGUGCCAUAUUUUUCUUUACUAGUUUUUCUAGCCUCGCGCUACGCGCGAGGUUGCCCCAAAUUUGUGUUACUCUAAUGUAAUUGAUAGUAGGUAGUUUGGUGUUAACGAUUUGCGCAAGUACAGCAUAUAAAAUAUCAGUCACGUUCUAAUUUAUAUAAAUCUCUAUAUAAACCUGAAUGAUUGGAGAACAGACAUGCACGACAAUCAACAAAAGCAGACUAAUUCCAGACCAAUUAUACCUUAUAUCUAACAGAAGAUAAGUUUAAAGUAGCGAAGAUUAGGGGAGAGUCCAAAAACGAGACUGGUUGGGUAUUAAGUCUCGUAAGAUCCAGAGAAAGGAUAGAGGCUGUUAUUGACAAGAGUGAAACUGAACAAAAAGGCAUUGUUCCAUUUCAUUACGUUUAUAAAGCAAGGAAGGCAAUAGCGCUAGCUAGCAAGCAAGGACCUUUGUUUCACGGCAUCCGAUUCUUUUUUGUAAUAAGAAGUUACGUCUCUCCGGCGGAAAGGGAAGGCCUGUCAGGCCGUAUGCGCAUGGGUGCAGGAUUAUUCGGAAAAGUAUGCAGACAGCUCAUAGCGGCAAACUCACCGGCCACAAGAAAGUCACGCGGACAGCAUUGAAGUUCCAAAGCUAUGCAGACAGCUAAGCGCAUGGCAUUCUCCAGAAUUGUCAUUAGCACUUGCAUUGCUACGCUGCCGUCGUCUCCUCGCAUUCCUCUCUCUAGUCGCUUCUUCCAAGCUUGCAUAUUUCCGUGGACGACCCAUUAAAGAAACUCAGCUAUAUACAAGUAAGAAGGUUUCAAUAAGAGUAGUACCAUAACUUCUGAUUCACCUAACCACAAACAAAGCUUACUCCCAUGCGCAGGCUCCAUAAGAAUUGAAAGGAAAUAAGCCGAAGUACAACAUAUAAAAUACCAGUCACGCUCUAAUUUAUAUAAACCUCUAUAUAAAUCUCAAUGAUUGGAAAACAUACAUGAGAAAAGAGUUGCAGGUCUUAAGAGCUUAAGAGCAUAUCGAAUUCUCCCCGGAACUGGAAGAUCAUUCCUAGCGGAUAUGCUUUUUUUUUUUCCUCACAGGGGUCGAAAGCAAUUGAGGCGCAGGAAAACAGAAGCAAUCAGUCUUCAAAUCUUCAAAAAAGAACGAGGCAAGAUUCGGAGCUGCUCAUACUCUAGGUCAUAGCCUUUGCAGUUUUCAGCAGCAUCUUUUUAAAAAAACAACCAAAGUGUUAUCCCCUCGGGAAGUACGGUCAGAAGAAGAUUAGCGCUCAGACUCAGAAAGAGAAUCCGCUGUGAAGUAUUAAGCUGUGGGACGUCAAUGAGAGAAAGGAAGUCUCACCUUCUUCACUCGGGAAGAGAGUCGACAAGCGAGCUUACAGAGUGAAAAGAAAGUCCAGUUGUAGAGCAUUUUUGAAAAGGUUUCAGAGCUACCCCACUAUCAAGAAGCUCCGAUAGUAUCGACCGGGUGACAGCAAUGAAGCCGAGAAGCUACGCGGACAGCAUCGAAGUUCCAAAGCCAUGCAGACAGCAGCAAAGCCACGCGGACAGCAUCGAAGUUCCAAAGCCAUGCAGACAGUUGAUACAACAAACUCACCGCCCACAACAAAGCCACGCGGAUAGCAGGAACUUUCGAGCAAUUCCAGCAAAGCCAUCACCACAGAAUGACAAAAGACCAAACCGCCCCUCAAUCUCACGCAAAUUACGCUAUAACCGGCCCAUUUUUACUGUAGCUAAGAAAACUGACGCCUUUAGUAUAGUAAAGAUUUGCCACAUUUGCAAAGAUAGAAGAUUAUUGAUUUAUGUUUCUCAUGGCUUCAUGCCUUAUCUUAUAGUGUUGAUCCUUUCAAUUCAUGUUUUGGAAGGUAAAACACACAAAAAGAAGUGGCUGAAUAUAACAAUGAAAAUGCUUUUAGAUAAGUGAAUAUUAGCCUGGCGGUUAAAUAUUGAAGUUUCAAAAUUUAGAGAUCCUAAAAGAUAUUUGAGUCUUGGUACAUAAGAGUGAGUUAGUCCAACUAUAUGUUAGCAUCGUAUGGUGAAUUGUUGGUCAGUUUGCAAUAUUGUUAAGUUAUAAGUUUGAUCCUACGAAUGGAUUGCUAUCAUGUUAUAAAAAAACACCUCAAAAAAUGAUAAAAUAUUUGGCAACGAAUACGGUACGAGAAAAAGAUUCUAUACCAAAAAUGAGGUAUAAAAGAAGAAGCAGCAAGAGAAGGAGAAGAAAAAGAAGAAGAUACAAGACCCUAAAAAUGACCGAAUAUUUGGCAAGAAAUGGAGCUAUGCCACUAUUUCUUCCUAAAAGUCCACACCUACACGUGACGAUGCUGGCAAAUUUGUCCAUCUCAGACCAAGAGCCUUUACUCAAAAGAUAAACUUUCAAAGAGUAGAUUACAAUCUUUAAGUUCCUGUCCACAACUCCCAACGAAGGUAGAUUUUAGCAGUUGGCACUUAAGUCCCUAAUAGAUCCACACCUGAAUUAAUUAAUUAUUGUAUGAAUUGGCUGACAAAAUGUGCCAGCUUCCCUGUUCACUUCUUUCGCUCGUUUGGACACGAGUUUCCAGGCGGGAGACCAUCGUGGACUUGCCGACGUAACGCCGAUAGACCAGCCAAUUGAUUUCAGUACUAGCGUAAAACUUUAGACUGCCUCCACAAUUUUCUUGUGACGUGUCCAAUUGAUUUGCCUACCAAUCCAAAUGGGCAUUAUAUAUAUAUAUAUAUAAGCCACCGCAAGGGCGGAAUGUCAUCAAUUGCCAAGUUCAAAUCUUUCUCUUCUUGUUGAAGAUCGACGAGAAAUUUUCAGCAAAGGAAGAAAAGGGGGGGAAAAUGGCUAGUAAUAACAGGGAAAAAUUCGAGAAUUUGGUCAACGUUGAAGAAAAUCAAGUUCCUCUACUGCUGCAUUCAGAGUCAUCCAAAUAUGAAAUUGAUGAUGACGACCAAAAUCUCAGGCGAAGGGUCUUCGUUGAAUCGAAGAAGCUAUGGCAUAUUGUUGGCCCAGCCAUCUUCAGUCGAAUUACCACCUACUCCAUGAACGUGAUUACCCAAGCUUUUGCUGGCCAUCUUGGCGAUACUGAGCUUGCAGCAAUUUCAAUCAUCAAUAACGUCGUCGUUGGGUUCGAUUUCGGCCUCUUGGUACAUUUUAUUUCUCUGAAGAAUUCUAAGUUUUACUUAUUAUAUUCGCAGAUUUUUUUUAAAUUUAUUUCUCUGACAGGCUCUCUCUCUCUCUCUCUCUCUCUCUGUUUUUUUUUUUUUUGGGGGGGUUAUGGAAAUUAGUUGGGCAUGGCAAGUGCUUUGGAGACGCUAUGUGGACAAGCAUUUGGAGCCAAGAAAUACCACAUGCUAGGGAUAUACAUGCAACGUUCGUGGAUUGUGCUAUUUGCUUGCUGUAUACUACUUCUGCCAAUUUACAUCUUCGCUACACCAAUCUUGAAACUAUUAGGUCAGCCCGCAAACGUGGCUGAGCUCUCGGGUAGUGUUGCCUUGUGGAUGAUUCCUUUGCAUUUCAGCUUUGCCUUCCAAUUCCCAUUGCAGAGGUUUCUGCAAAGUCAGCUGAAGAAUUCAGUGAUUGCUUGGGUUUCAUUGGUAGCCCUGCUUGUACAUCUUUGUACCAGUUGGCUGUUUGUUUAUGGAUUCCAGCUUGGAGUGGUGGGAACCGUCGUGACCUUGAACUUUGCGUGGUGGGUUUUGGUGUUUGGUUUGUUUAUCUACACCGCUUGCGGUGGCUGUCCCCAUACUUGGCCUGGUUUCUCCAUGGAAGCGUUUUCCGGUCUUUGGGAGUUCCUAAAGCUCUCUGCAUCAUCUGGAGUCAUGCUUUGGUAGGCUUUUUCUUGCCAAUGGUUUUCUAUUCUCUAACUGCUCUCAUAUUAAUAUGCAUGUUUUGCCAUCUUGAGCGACUCCUUCACUUUUUGUUACUUUCUCAGUUUAACCUUUUUUCUCUUCACCACAACAAAAUCACUUUCAGCUCUGUUAACGAGUAAUAUAUAUAUAUAUAUAUAUAUAUAUAUAUAUAUAUAUAUAUAUAUAUAUAUAUAUAUGUAUGUAUGUGUGUAUGUAUAUGUGUGUGUGUGUGUGUUAAACAAAACCCUAGAAAUUUCACCUUUCUUUCAUUUUUUUCCUCUGUCAAUAGUUUGGAGAACUGGUAUUAUAGAAUACUCAUAUUGAUGACCGGAAAUCUCAAGAAUGCAGAAAUUGCAGUGGAUGCUUUAUCUGUAUGGUAGGUGAUUCUCCACGUCUUUUAUUCUUGUCAACAAUUACAAAUAUUUAAAUACCUCGCCUUGAAAACUAUCAAAAACAUGUGAUUUGGUACUUUCUUGGUUGCUUAGGAAAUUAAUGUACAUUAGCUCCCUAAACUAUACUCUCAUUGUUUCUUGGUACUUUGUAAAUUAGAGUUGGGACCCAGUAGAUCCAUUGUAGUACUCAAGACUGGCUGGAAUUUUUCAAAAUUGACCAGCACAGAGCAUGUGCACGUUUAUAUUAUUAGUCAAACUUAGGUCCCCUUGAAGCUUGAAGUUUGAACUGCUCGUUGACUUCUUGGCCUUUUGAUUUUUUUUUAAAAUAAUAAUUUUUAUAAAAUAAAAAUAAAAAAUUUAAAUUCAAAAUCUCUUGUUUACACUAUUUUUUUUCAAAUCACCCAUCCCAUCCACCUCUGACUCUUUGAUUUAAGAUUAGUCAGAUUAGUCUACUCUGUUUCUUGAUGUGGGCAAGAAAAAUAUAAUUCAAUAGCAAAGCGUCAUCUUGACAUCGUGGAAGUCAUCCUUUCGAGCCCAUUGUUUUGAUUAAAAAACUUUUUGAAAAAAACAGAAACUUGACUUGAAGUAUAAGCAGAGAAAAAAGAAAGCAUCUUCAAAUUUGAACUUAAAACUGUGGGGCUUGGAAAAUUUUCAUCAGUAAUAUAUAUCUCAUCAUAUUAGUCUCCAAAAAUAGGAUCUUCAGUUCUUUAAAAUUGUUCUUUCAGCAAGAAUCACCUCGGCUUUAUAGUGAUCUAUACCUUUAAGAUAGGGCGAAAAUAAUUGAUGAUCAUCCUUCAAUUGAUUAUUCCAAUCCAUCUCAAAUUUUUUUUUAUUAUUCCAUAAUUCACCUGAAUUGGCCUAGAAGGUUUGUCAAAGCAGAACAUCUUUUGACUACAAACUCUCUAUCUAUCACGAGCUCUUUGUUUUUUUUUUUUUUUUUCUAAUAAAUGUGAAUUUAUUUUCCUUUGCAGCAUGACCAUAAAUGGAUGGGAGAUGAUGAUUCCAUUAGGCUUCUUUGCAGCAACAGGGUAAGAUCCAUCAUAUCAUAUGUUCUUUCUCGUUUCAUUGCAAAUUAGUCUUUAACUCCUGUUUGUAUUUUGUGAUUUUUGAUUAGGGUUUGUUUGGAUAGAGAAUUAUUAGCUAAAAUUUAUUUGCUUACAUCAUCAUUACAAUUUCCAACGCACAUUUUUAUCUUCCCAAUUACCUUUUUAUCUCACAUACAUCACAUCACAAAAAGUACUACAGUAAAAAUAUCUCAAAUAAUUUACAAUCCAAACACUUUUCUGUGCCAUAGAAAAGAAAAGAAAAGAAAAGAAUGCAGUAGGCAAAAUUUCUGAUCAAUCGAUCUGAAUUGGCCUUAUUUUGCACUUGACAAUCACUCAUUCGUGGACUGGAAAAUUUUAUCGCGUUCCACUCUUACAAAUGCACAUGCUUGUGACCACAAAUAAGUCACAACAACAAUUAAUGGUACAUUAAAACUGUUAAUAUGGGCUGUUCAUCUUUUACCUAUGAGAAGGAUAUCAGAACUUUUCUUGGUAAAAGCAGGCCAGAAUUAUUCACUGGUGCUUGCAAUUACAACAAUGGGGCACCAAAGCUAUUGGUGUGGGAUAUUAAUUUUUCGUUGAACACAUGCAAAGGAAUUUUUCAGUCUUAACCGUAUUGUGAUUGUGAAUGCUUGUGGUGCAGAGUAAGAGUAGCCAACGAGUUGGGAGCAGGAAAUGGGAAAGGAGCAAGAUUUGCUACUGUUGUUUCUGUGGCGACUUCUUCCCUAAUUGGGCUUUUCUUCUGCCUCAUAAUAAUUAUUUUCCACAAUGAAAUUGGUUUAAUUUUCUCCUCAAGCAAACCCGUGCUGGAUGCAGUGAAUCAACUCACUGUCCUCUUAGCUGUCACUAUUCUCCUCAACAGUAUUCAACCAGUUCUAUCUGGUAUGUCAAUUAAUUGGAAGUUAAUUUUUAUUUAUAUUAGUUGCUAUUUAUAUUCUAAAUGUUCUGUUCGAUUAACUUUUUUAUGUAUUGUCAGUGUUUGAAUCUCAUUAUACUAUCAGGUUUAGUUGAAUAUCUCGUAAUCUCUAUUUAAAUUUGAAAUUUACUCCUUACAUAUGUGGCGUGCAUUUACACCUGGUAGCUAACAAAUAAAAAAAAAAUGAAUCCUUCUUUAUUGCUUAAUAAUAAUAAUUUGUUUUUCAACAGUUUUAGAAUUUUGUUUUCUAUUGCAGGGGUAGCAGUUGGAUCCGGAUGGCAAUCACAAGUGGCUUAUGUAAAUGUUGCCUGCUACUACUUGGUUGGAUUUCCACUCGGACUCACAAUGGAAUGGGUUUUUCACCAAGGAGUCGUGGUACGUAGCCAUGAUGGAACCGAACAAUCAUGGCCACCAAAUUUUUGCAGUUGCCAAAUUCUUGACAAUAAAUUUCUCUUGCACUUAAUACUAACCAUGUUUGGCCCUACAAUAAUUAUUAAUCCAAUAAAUGUUGAAACCUAUCCUCUGAGCCUGUACUAAAGAAACUAACUUGAGAAGUCAUUAAAUAGUUAAGUAAUGAAUCGCGAACCAAGACAGACCAAUUUCUACCUUAAUCACUUUGGAGUUAGCUGUGAUUAAUGAUAACAUGAACAGGGCAUCUGGGGUGGAAUGAUACUCGGAGGAACGGUACUUCAGACGCUGAUAUUAGUCAUCAUUACUACUCGAUGUGACUGGGAAAAAGAGGUAAAUUAAGCAACUGCAUUUUUCCAAAAUUCCUGUUGCUAUUUGUUUCUGCCACUAAAUACUUGGGAAAAUGCUAGAGCCAUUUUCCUUCUCAAUUCUGCAAAUUGUAUACCAAAAUUGCCUACUAGGCUACCAUAUCCAUGCAUUCUAAUGUCAUUACUUUUCGGUUUGCAGGCCCAGAAAGCAAGCAAUCACACAAAGAAGUGGGCUGGCUUGCCUUAAUAAGCUCUUAUGCAUCCUAAUAAGAAUUCAAGGGGCUUGUCUCACCAUGUAAUGAAGCCAAAACUUCAAACUAGUUUAGGAUCAAAGGCGCAAAACCACUGUUUAUGGAAGCUCAUCCUUCAUGAAGGUGAGGAAUUAUUUUUUUCUUUUUAAUUUUUUUCUAGUAGAGGAGGGGCGGGAUUUAAGAAGCGGGGAGAGAGGAAAGAGGGAUUUUAGAAACAUGACCAGUGGAUUUGUUUGUUCCUUUGAUAUCCCAUUUUGGUAGGUUGGCAGGGAGUGGUCAAAAAGUUUACCUGUAUCUUUUGGUGAAUGUAUCAUAACCAAGUCCUUUGAAAAGAAAAUUUGUGCAUUACUUGUAACAAGUGAGUGAUAAUGACUUAUAAGUUGAAUUUAUGAUUUUCUUUUUUUUUUUUUGUUGCCCUUUUUGGGGCAAUCCAGCCAUUGAAGAUUAUAUCGAUGUAUAAUGAGCAUUGGCCAACUGUUGGAGUUACGUUAACAGUUUUUAAAUUAGCGGGUGCAGAUACAUGCCAAAUGUGCAAGCUUAAACUUCAAAUUUAAGUAAAGAUCAAGUGGCACACUUCCAGACAUGCUAGUAUAAUAAAAUUCAUACAAUGUUAGUGUGAAAAACCUUAAUCUCUUUCCUUUUUCUAAAAAGAAAUGAAAAAGUGUUAUUUUAGGUGCACAGUGUAACAAAGGCUUACAUGCUUAUGCAAGAGAGGGUACAAAGUUGCAACUCAAGUUGUUUGAACGCAUGUUUUUGCUCCAAAUUUUCUUAAGCCAAUUCUGACAUCUGACAGUUUGGGAAUUCUCCUAACCUGCCCUUGGUCCCUUGUUUCAAUUUUGAUAUUGAAUCUUGACCUAAGCUACCGGAUGAGAAGUGAUCAACCUACAUUCUUUCUGGUUUUUUUUUUUUUUUUUUUUAACUUGAAGAAUACUGCUUGCUGCCGACAAUGGGUCAUCCAUAAUUCUACAUAUAAAUGUCAAAUUCACAUCUAACGACGACUAAUUAAAAAAAAUAACAAAAAAGAAGAGAGAGCAAGUGAAAAAAAUUAUGGCACAUCAAUCUAUUCAUGGUGGUCCAAUUUUAUAGCAGGGAAAGAAGGUUAUCCUUUCCUAUUUUUUUAUGGCAGUCCAAUUUUCAAGAAUGUAAUACAGGUAGAUUGGGGACGACAUGUUACCUACUUUUCCUAUUUAUGAUCUUAUUAUAUGCUAUUAGCACCGAAUUAAGUUCCUUCAACUAACUGCUGAAAUACAUGAUUAGCAAAUGAAUAUAUUAAUUGUUUGAGUUAAUUGUAAACAUCCAACAUGAUUCCUAAAAUUAUUUAAGUACUAUACUAUCUAUGUAGUUGUUCGAGCAACUAGAACUUAAAUACUUCUUAGAGAAUGAGUUUUCUUCACGAAAGGUCAUCAUUACUAGUGGGGCGGGGCAUAUUUAUUCUAACAAUCGUUGUCACUUGGGAACAAAAGCAAUAUUGAAAAUUCAUAGCAAGUUGAGGCAGAAAUUGACAAACUACGACAAUUCAAUUCUCAAAAAACUACAACAAUACAGCAAUAGGGAUGGCAACGGGGCGGGGUUGGGGCGGGGGAUCCCUCCCCCGUCCCCCCAGCCCGCUGCCUACAAACUCCCCCCGCCCCGGCCCCAUCCCCCGUCCCCCGCUCCUCCCGCCCUGUCCCCGCCCCGUCCCGCGGGGCUAAUAAAAAUUUGUUAUAUAAUUUUAUUAUGAUUAAAUUUUAACAAAUAAUCAAGUACUAAAAUAUUAACACAUCAUUAAAUUAUUAUUCAUUAUAAUUUUACAAUUGAAACUUAUAAAAAUAAUCAAACAAAAAAUAUUUAAAUACAAUCCAACAUAAUGAAAUAAAUAUAACUAAAGUAGUCAAGUUUUCACUUUUCGCACAAAUACAAUCACUAAUUCAUUAUUGUACUUGUGCUUUUUUAAAGAAAAAAAUAAUAUUGUAUUAAGUGUAAUUAGGGAUUUAGUAUAAAUGUAUUAGUAAAUUUAGUAUAACCAAUUAAUAAUUUGGAUUAGUACACAUAUAUAAUUAUUAGUAUAAUUAAUAAUAUCAAUUAUAUUAUAUAUACUAAUAGACAUUAUAUAAUACAUAUAACUAAUAAUAUCAUUAUCAUAAGUUUGUAACUAAUUAAAUUAUAUAAUUAUAUAUAUAUUUUAUACAUUUAUUUUUUUAAAGCGGGUGGCGGGGCGGGGGUACACUCCCCCCCCCCCCCCCCCCCCGUUUCCCCCCGCCCCCGCCCCAACCCCCAUUAAUCCCCCGCGGGCACCCACCCCAUUGCCAUCCCUAUACAGCAAUGAUAUAAUAAAAUCAAAAUCAAGAUUACUUAAUCCUUUUUUUAAUAGGAUACUAUUAUUUCUUAUAAGAGAAAGAUAUAUUACUAUAACUACCUUACCUUGUCCCUUAUAUUAGAUAGGAACAUUACAAGAUAAUUGUAUAACUACUGACAGAAUUAAGAAUCAACAUGUAACAUUUUUUUCAAAAGAGGUUUCAAAUCUUAUAAGUGGUAGGGUAAAGGGAAGGGUUUGAAAGUCAAAUAAAAAAUCUCGUGAUCACUAGACCAAUCUCUAUACCAACUAAAUUGAAUCUUAAUGCAUAAAAAAUGGUGUCCCCUAGAUAUUUAAUUACUAUCUAUUAUUAUUAUUUAAAUUUUUUAUAAUAUGCACAAAUAGUAAUAUCAGGAAUUGCCUUUUUGGAUCAAGAAAAUACUAAUAAGAAUGGACAUAGACAGUGUGGAAAACGUGCACACAAUAGUGUGCAGAGAACCAAGUCAUCGAGAAAUAUAAAUAGCUCAUCUUGACAUGGUCCAGAUAACUUAGAUGCCAACAUGGCAGCAGUGUUACAUGCACCUAAUUUUCUGCUCGAUUUCAACAUUUGUAGUGAAUGAAUUUAAUGCCCCAAUUGAUCAGAAAGGUCCUGAAGUCACGUCCCAGUUGGAUUCUGUUUCGAAGGCAAGAUAUGUAGAUAUUUCUUUGUUGGAUACCCUUUUUCCCUCUAGUAACUAUUCCUGCCUUUUAUUUGAAUCUUCAACGUUUCGAUUUAGCUUUAUACUAAAGUUUCUACUAGGAAAAAAAAAAAACAAAUGUUCCCCAAAAAAAAAAAAAAAUUCAUUGUCCUUGAUGAAAAUUAAAGAGAUCAGUUCUUUGACACAACACAGGAAAACAAAGUAUUCAAUCGAAUAAAGAAAAUGAAGCGUAUUUACCAAAAUUAGUUCAUCAUUCAAGGUUUCAAGACCUUCGAAAGCAAUGCUUCAUUAAACUGUAAUACUCAAAUGUUCUUUGUGGGAUUCAAGAAGCUUCAUUUGAGAGCCAAUUUAACCAAAACUUCUGCUAAAAUCGUGAAUCUAGUAGGUUGCAUGUAUACAUCAAAAUUCAAGAGGAGUUCCAUAUGAUUUGGCUACAUGUAUAUGUACACAUCAGUCAUCACAAACCUAGUUGAGUGGUUUAAUAUGGACAAAACGUGGAGGUAUCUAACUCCAAAAUUACAAUCUCAAUCAACAAAUACGGGUCAAAAAAUGGUGGCCUCACCGGAUUCCACCACCAACAAAGGCAAUUUAUUUCCACCGAGUCUCCCCGAAGAAAAUUGAACCCAGUCAUCCCGCUUCAUCACAAACCGAGCUGACUCACUCCCCUUGUCACAUUUUCCCCAUGUUAACAACUUCUUUUCCUCCUUGUACACCUUCAAUUUAUCAGUCUUUUCUUUCAAUUCACUAACCAAGACCCAUAAAUUCUCCGUGGAAGGCUUCUUGACUGGAAAUAGCAAUGAUAACUUCUCCUUACAGUCUUCUAAUCUCUUUAGGGCACAUACAAACUCGACCGACUCAGCGAAACUCAGACCGCUGAGUCGCAGAUUCAACUCACUGAGUCGUGACAGAAUUUCGUUAACCGCCGACAAAUAAUCAUUGCUCAAUAAACUGAUCACCUCGUACAAUAACUCGUUCCCUUCGACGAAGCUGGGAUCAGGUCCUUUGCAUAUUUCUUCAAUCAUUCCAACCAAUGAAUCAAUGUCUCUGACUAAAUCUUGACUCAAGAAAGAUGAAAUUCUUUCUUCUUGCUUAUCUCUUUCCAUGCUGCAUGAAGUUGAUCCCAAGAAGUAACCCAAAACCCUAGAAGUUGAGAGCAGGGAUUCAAUGUAACGCGCGUACCAUCUCACCCAUGCAGACAAAACCCACGUGAAAGCGGUGGCGCCGUCGCGGAAGGAGGAGAGUUUGAGGUAGUUGUAUCCACCGGCAGCAGGAAAAAUGGAAAGCUGGUCUUGAAGAAUAAAGGGUCCACGCUUAAUGAUGUGGUGGAGGGUUAGGAGGCACUUCAGUGCUACAGUGGAGUUGCUGGUGCGGUGGAGGCGGUCCAUGAGGGAGGAGAUGAGGGCGGAGGCAGUGGAGCGUGAGCUGUCUCCGAGGGCGAGUAGGGCGGAGAUGUGGUUGUCGUUUGGUGGCGUGGAAGGCAUGUGGGUAGUGACACGGAGGACGGCGAGGCGGAGGGAGAUUGUUUCAGGAGUGGAAACAAAAGCGGCUUUGGAUGCUGAAGCCUUGUCUUUGAUAACUCCUAUAAGAUCUCUCAACGUCGUUAUUCUCCCCAUGGACAGCGGUUAGAAAGUGAAAAGAGUUUGGAGAGACAGAAAAGAAAAGAAAAGAGAAGUAAGGAAUGUGGGGAUAGUCAGUAGUGUUGGGGUUUAACAAUUUUAAGACGUUAACCAGGGAAGCAGGGGAGACUUUUUGCUGGCUAAUUUUGAGGUUGAAAGGGUCUUGGAUCUCUGAUUAUAGGCGUGAUUUGACCGAUGGUAAAUAAGUCUAAAAGCAAGAUAUUUUAUUGUAGUAGUAAUGGGCAGAUAUGGUAGGGGAUAUCUUCUUUUUUUUUUGGAUAGGGUCCUUAGGGGAGGAAUUGAAGGUAUCUUCUUUUGGCCAGGGAAAUUGGAACUUUCCCUUUUGUUGUAGGUUAAGUUGAUUUUUUUUGUUUUUUUUUUAGGUUCCAAAGUACAAAAACAAAGUAAUCAAGUUGAAACUUGUUUUCAUUUUUUAGCUUUUAAAUGAUGAAAAUAAGUAAUUGGAGCUGAGGAGAUGAGGACAAGUAGGUGAGAGUGAAAUGGUAGCAACAAGCGACCCUUCCAUUAUUGAAGAAUGAAGACGCUAAGACAGGGUGUAUGAAUUGCCGAGCUCACCGAAUGGUUAAAUAAAUAGAAAGAAGGGGUCCAUGGUUAAAUAAAUGAAGACCCAAUUGGUUCAAAAAAAUUUUGGGAUUUCUCAACCAAGCUAUGCAAGAGUUUAUUAGUUGUUUAGUAAAGUUCAAAAAGAUUUUUUUUUUUUCUGGCCCCCUUUUGUCAACUACGUUUUAGUACCUCUGCAAUAAUAUACCCGAACUUAAAUGGGAUGGAUACCUUCUUUUUUUUUUAUUUCUUUUUUGCCCCUUUAGAACUGGAUGAACAUAUGGUACAAUGAGGUUUUCAGAACAGAAAUACACAAUUUGGCUACUGGCCAAAAUUCUAAUGAUCCAACAAAAUAUGUGACAAAUGUGCCCUCACCUUUUCAAAAAAAAAAAAAAAUCAUCAGCCCCUAAUGAUUAAUUCAACGAUGUCUAUAGAAAGCUAUAAUCAAGAUUGCUUAAAUUAUGAUCUCCUAAUAUUUCAUCAAUUUGCUCUAUCUUGGACUUAGUAAGAUGUUCCUUAAAUAACUGCCCUAGAAAAGUAAAUAAGGAGAGUACGGAAAAUGGAGGCCGGCGUGUUGAAAGCAAUCUAAACCCAGUGAGAGAUGAAACUAAACUUUGUAAAAGUUAGAACAGUGUAUGUGGAGAAUUAUUGAAUUUAUUUUUAGGUUAGUUAGAUAGCUAUUGAUGACCUAAAGGUCGUUGAUCAACCGAACUGAACAAAAGGGAGUGAUAGCGAUUUAUUUCAUUAAAAGACAAUUUAAAAAUUUCUUGUAUAUUUCAGUUAUAUUCAAAAUUUUUUAGAUGUAUUGUAUCUGUUAAAUUGCAAAUAUGAUAUGUUAUUUCUAAUGCAUGUUUAACAUAUCAUUAGGGUAGCAAUAUAAAUCAAAUCGAUUUGGACAAUCUCCAACAAUUGAUUAAUGAAAUUUGCUUUUUACAUAUAUAAAAAAAAACUCCUCCAUACGUCAUAGAACAUGGCUCCUGAUUGUCUUUUUCUUUCCUUAAAAAAUCAAUAAUAACGGAGACUUUAUUGACAUUUACUUUCGAUUAUAUUUUCACAGCCAUGACUCAUCCUCCAUACAAAUAUUUUCUCAUGAAGAAAUGCUCUAAUUCAAAUUGCAAAUUCUAAGAGAUGACUUGAGCAAAGGCAAUUGACAUGCAGAAAUCAUCUUACACAGACCGGCGUGUUAAUAAUAAUAAUAAAAAAAGACGGGUGUGUUUAUCCUAUCCAAACAAGCAAGUGGGAAUAAAAUUCGCAACCACCCGUUGCUCAAUGAGUUGUGAACGUUGCAUUGACUGACAUUUCUUUUUCUACGACCCACAAAAUUGUGAUUUGUUGUCUCCUUUUAGACCUUUCAGCCUUAAUUGAUGCUAACUCUUCGUUGUUUGUCAUUAAUUAACUUGUAGACUAUUAUUUUUUUUUUGGACCACCUCUCCGAGGAAAGGGCGUGUAGGGUAUCAAGAAUUGUAAUAGGGGCCCAAAGCAUUGCCCCUUAGAAAGAGGAUCCUGUGGACACCAGCAAGUAUGCAACUGACGGACCAGGGGCAACCGUUCCUCAAGCUUAUGUACAUUUUGCACACGGCGUAACUCUAUUUGUACAUGACAUAACUUAAUUCAACAACGUGUAAUUUAAGAACAAAAUUUUGUAAGUCCCACACAUAUUGUUAAAAAUGAGGUACAUGAUGAAAUUUGGAUCGUACAAUUUUUUUGAUCAAAUCUUAACCGUAAACUGCAUAGGAACGGUCCGCCUGAUGACCGUUUCUGCUCCAAAUCCACAACUGAUAGAGUGCGCUAGCUCGAUUGGGUUUUUCAAAUGUCAAUUCUUGGGACACACUACUACUUCAUUAUGUUUCUUUUUUUUUUUUUUUUUGGGAGCCCGGGGGGGGGGGGAGAAAACAAUGAAUUAUUUGAAAAAGAGAAAAACGCCUUAAAAAGGGCCUAAUUCUGCAACUAUCACAAAACAGAAAAAGAGUAGUUCAUCAGCGGGCAAAGUCACAAGAUAAAAAGUUAAUUAGCGGCUACUGAUAUUGUGAAUACAAUUUGCUAUUCAGCAAAGGUUUCAAGACAAAGGUGGGAUUAAAAGUUUGUGUUUACUCAUUUGUUUUAUGUAGAAAGCAGUCAUCAGUACUCAGCCAUGGGGAUUUUGCUACACAACCUACGUUAAUAAAGCCGAAAACAGCAUCAAAGCAGAAAACAAUAAUGUAUUCGAAAUUAUUUAGAUAUAAAGCAUUGGAUAAACUUGUUAACUUCCCGAAUAAUUUUUUUUUUAUCGUUAUGCUUAUGGAAAUAAAUUAAUACAUCUCAAACGAACAUCCAAAUAGGUAAAACAAUAGAGUGAUUUUAGCAAAUAUAGCAAGUUCCAGUAUUUAGACGCUCUAUAGACUAUGCCCAAAGGGGGGAUAAAGAUACCCCAAAAGCCAAAAGUUUCUUGGAUUAAAUUCAACGUUCAAAUAAGUGAUGUGACCGUCUCAAUUACUUCCUUUUACUAUAAUGGGAAGCUACUUGAUUGCUUUCUUUGAACAUAAACCUCGGUGGUGGAGCACUAACCUUUGUACCAAAUUUGUGUAGUGGACAAAUGAGUUUGUGUAAUAAGACUCCUUCAAGCCAAUGACCAGGCCAUGAAGAACAAGCCAAAAGUUGAUUUAUAGACCCCAUGCAAUCAUUAUCUUCAAGUUUAUGGAUUCUUUUUGGGCAUUGUUAACGAAUCAGGGUUCAAGAUUCAGAAAACCGAUCAAAGCCGUAAAAAACUUACAGCAUGCGGACAAACAACUAUUUUCUAGUCUAAGCGCUUGAAGAUGCCGGAAUAUGUGCAUGGAUAGGGUUACUGUAUAGAGGACAGACGCCUGUAAUCCAUCUUUAAUUUCAUUGCCUAAGCAUCUAAUUAAGGAAAACUAAAUUAUAGUGAAUUCCAAAUUGACAUACAAGCAAAGCCCUCCGUGUGUCUUCAAAUUUUUGAAAGACUAAUACAACAUAAAGAAAUUGAAGGGAGAAAAGUAGUAAAAAGGAAGCAAAUAAGCUAUAGAACAGAAAAAGUGUUUGUUCGUUUGAAGAAAUAGACCGUUUUCCAGGAGCAAUGUUGUGCAACUUCACAUGUAAACUAGUCAUUCUUACUGAACAAUAUAACUCUAAUCUGGAACUUUGAAGAGUCUUCUAUAUUCCAGUUUAAGAUAAACAACAGAAGACAUGUUCCGUAUGAAACAGAAACACGUGCAAACCUAAAACAGAAAAGUGUAUUAUAAACUUGUUUAAUGAGUCCAACCUUAAUUAAUCAUGAUUUGUCAAUACUUGGAAAAUUCUUCAUUGUCUUUGUUGGUGAGAAAACAAUGGAAGAAUUGUUUGAAAAGAAUAGAUUGUGAACAAUGCAUUUUAGCUAUUCAUGACUUUCAAAUACUAUAAUUGCAAAACAAGUCCUCAUUUGAUUUUUCAAUAAUGUAUGGAAGAAAAUAUGAAAACAGAUUAUUUUCCUUGACAUUUUCUUUUCCUUCACGAAUUUAGGAUAAAGUGGGACGUUAGUGCUUUAAAAGAAGGGGAAAAAAGCAAUCGAAUCUAUAUGAUUGUGUACUAGCAAUAAACUACUCUUUAUAAACCCACGAGAUUGGAGCAGUUGAUAAACGGGUUGCUAAUGCUAAUGGGAGGUUAUAAGUUUGACUCUUACAUGUGACACUUUGAAAAGUUUUGGAUCAAACCUUUACUCUCGAAUAAGAGUCGGAUUCUGCAAGCACUUUUCAAUUGAAUCCGUAUUAGUCUUACUUAGGUUGGGGAUACUGGAUGCACAAAGCAAAAAAAACUACUCUUCAUGAAAAUUUUCAUAUUUAAUAUAUUCAUAUUUUUGCAAAAAAAACUACUCUUCAUGAAAAUUUUCAUAUAUAAUAUAUUCAUAUUUUUGACGGAAUCCUGGAUUAUUUGGCAUAGAUGCACAAAAAAAAAAAGAAUCAUUGGAUAGUCCAUUAUAAUCUUACUUUCCCUUUUUCUGGGAAGAGAGUGAGGCCCCCGGGGGGGGGGGGGGGUUGAAGUGUAGGGCCGGGAGUUUCUCUGAAAGAGGUCCAGGUGCUUAUGGUUGAAAUAACUGAGCAAUUUUGGACAAAAAUCGCAGAGAUCACUGUAUUCGAAAAGAACAAAAGCUUUAGGGUCAACCCUGGUAUGCUAUAGCUUCCUUGGAGAUUUGUCCUAAGCUAUCCUCGUACGAAAGGGACAUAGAGACACGAAAAGUAGAAUGAAAAGAUCAAAUGCAUGUUAUUUGUUUGUCAUGAUUUCCACAUCUUGGGCCAUAUUGCAUCAACAUGCGAAAAUGGCGAAGGAAUUUGUUUCUUGCCUAAUUCCAAGUCAAAGACAUCCACAGGAACUUGGUAUAAAUUAUGCUGCAAUUACGUUUAAAAAAAAAAUCAUUUCCAAAAGAACAGUUCUACCAUAUAUACAAAUACUGCCCAAUUCUACAAGGGAAAAUCGUUCAAAAUGUCCCUCAUGUGUUACAAGAUGACUUUUUUUGUCCCUCACUCUUAAAAGUGUAAUUUGACAUCCCUUACAAAUUCACAUUGACCAAAUUUGGUCCCUACCUAGAUUUCCGACUAAUUUUUGAUCGGAAUCCAACACGUGAAAUUUUACCUGAACAGUGUGAAUAACAUGUAAUUUAUUUCUAUUGGAUUUCAUCUAAACAUGUUAAUCGUAGUUAUACAUGUGCUAUUCAAUAUAUAUGUAUAUGGGUUUAAAACUAAUAAUUUUGUUUGAAACCCAUGUAUAUAUUUAUAUAAUUUCAUCAUUUGAACCUAUUCAAUAUUUGUGACAUUUCUCUUUUGAUAAUAAUUUAUUUAUUGAGUUGUAUAAUAAGGUCAUCUAAUUAAUGGGUCCUAACUCGAAUUCUAUAAAGUGUUAACAAAUUUUAGUUUAAAUAUGAAAUUUCUACUCGACACUUUUAAGACCAACAUUUGAAUUACUUGCCUUGUGAUUGUUUUAAAAUUUGAAAGUGCCAAUCACUUAUUUCUUUUUGUCAUACUUUUCUUUUGUUUACUUUUUCUAUCCAAAUUUAAUUCGAUAUAAACACUCGAUAAUAUUUAUGAUUAAAUGUCAUCUUUACUUUCAAAUUUCGAGUAAAAGAAAAUGAAUAUAAGUGAAAAGUUAACAAUUUUUUUAAACCCAUGUAUAUAUUUAUUUGAUUUCAUUUGAGCAGUACGAAUAGUUUGUAAUAUAUCUCUAUUUGAUUUCACAUGCUAUUCGUACUGUUCAAGUGAAAUCAAAUAGAUAUAUACAUGGAUUUAAAAAAAAUUAUUCACACACAUGAUCAAUAAAAGAUAAAAAAAUUCAUUUUGAAAAAUGUAAAGGAUGAAAAUAUUCAUUUUGUGGUAGGGGAAAGGGAAGGGUUUGAAAGUCAAAUAAAAAAUCUUGUGAUCACUAGACUAAUUAAUCUCUAUACCAACUAAAUUGAAUCUUAAUGCAUAAAAAAUGGUUCCCCUAGAUAUUUAAUUACUAUCUAUUAUUAUUAUUUUAAUUUUUUAUAAUAUGCACAAAUAGUAAAAUCAGGAAUUGCCUUAUUGGAUCUAGAAAAUGCUAAUAAGAAUGGACAUAGACAGUGUGGAAAACGUGCACACAAUAGUGUGCAGAGAACCAAGUCAUCGAGAAAUAUAAAUAGCUCAUCUUGACAUGGUGGCUAAUUACUUAGAAUAUGGCUGAGGAAAAGAAAAUUCGGACAUCUAUGGCUCUAACAGGGAUAUGUUGCAUACUUAUGGGUGCCGUCUGACACAGUCCGGUACCCAAAAGAGAGUUCAAUUUUUUUUUUGACUCUGACACGGUGCCGGGGUGACACAGCGCGGAACCUGACACAAAAAAAUGUAUUUUGCUGACAUGCAUAUAAACAUGUAUUUUGCUGGAUCUCCAACUUUUGUAUGGUUCAUACAGCAAAGGUUUUGUACAUACAAAUAAUUGUGUAUACAAUACUUUAGUUUCCUCCAAGCCAACAAAUGAGCCGAUUUAUCAACAAAUCGGACGACGAGAAAACUAAUAAAGAAAUCAUAGCCACAAGGCAAUUUGUCCAUCUUCAAGGAUUUUUCUUUUCAUCAUCUUAAAGAUUAAACAUUCUUUUAAUUUUUUUUGGGAUAGAGAAAAUGGAAUUUGGUGUUGCUCUUUUCCGCUUCUUUACGAAAAUGCUGCCAAGGGUCAUCGGAGGCCUUUUAGACUUGCAUAUAUUCUUGGAUAAAAAUGGUAGUAUAACAUAUGGUAAAAAUAAAUGCUACUACUUAUGGUUAUUGGAAGAAAUAGAAAUCAGAGAAUGCUUUUGCAGCUAAUGCCCUUCAUUUUUUUGGUCCAGUGAUCUCUUUGUAAUUUCCAAUUAUUGACAGGUUUGUUGCAAAAGAUGUUUGGACGAGAAAUUAUUUGUAGUGCAAAUUCAAAAGAUGCAGAACCUUAUUUUGUUCUUAUUUUUCUGCAGAUUCCUAUGAGAAUGUGUCUAAUACUGAUUUGCUAUAAAUCUAUUAUACCGAUAGUCACAAAAGAAAUUAAUUUUUCUCUACAAAGAUACAUGUGCUACCAAAAUCUUUAACCAAAAUCUUUAACUGCAACAUUAGCUGAGUUAGGAUCAAAUUUUGUUGACUUGCAGACACAGUGGUCUGGUCUCAAAGGUCUGGAAAAUUGACCAUGAUAAGAUGGAAUAAUUUAAACUAAUCUAGGAUGUCACUGUACACGCUGAUCAUGGGCUUGUAAACGGCAUAUUCGACACAGGUAUAUCAAAUUAAAAGGCCCUAUAUCAAUUGACCCAACCCAACGAAUGAUAUUAGAUUAGCCAUGGAAGCCCAACCCAUAUGCCUAACUACCUCCAACUGGGUCUGCCUAACGACCUCCAACGGGUACUCGCUAAGAUGUAGUUUAGGUAUUAAAUUUUUUUUCGAAAAAAUAAAGUCAAUUAGAAAAAAUGUAUGAGCUCUCAUUGGUACUCGUUAAAAUGUAGUUUAGGUAUUAAAUUUUUUAAAAGUAAAGUUAAUUAGAAAAAAUGUAUAAAUGCAAGAAAGAGUAAUAAUUAGUAGUAGGUGCAUUCACAUAAUAGAUUAGGUGUGAUUCAAAUGAACUAACAAGCGUCCAUUGUGCACCCGUUACAAACACUCUUAAAUUAUUAUGCAGCAACAACUCAUUACACUUCUUUUCUGACAAAAAUAAUAAAUAUAGAAAAUCACUAACUGAUCUUGAAAGUAUCCAAAGAAACCUAUCAAAAGUUUUUUAACUAAUGGUAAUGAUGACAUCAAUAGUUCGUAUCCAAUCGUUUUCACUUGCAGAAAUAUAUUACUAACUUUUUGUGCCCUAGAUGCUCCCUUGAGUCCCAAACCUCAUUUCAAAGGUUGGCCAUGAAAAAGACGGGCUAAAAUGGAAGGACUUACUAUGGGCUUGUCAUUAAACGACAACUUUGGAUGUGGAUGUUUCAAAGGAAAGGCCCGUAUCAAUUUGACCCAAGGGACGAUAUCAAUGAAAGCCACGGAAGCCCAAACAGCACGACAAAUUUGCUGCAUUUCGAUGUAAGGAAUUUGGAGCAAAAUAUUUGGAGCAGUACCACAAUAUUUUUUCUGACGUGAUACCAUAAAUGUGAUAAAAAAAAUACUUAGAAAACAUGUUUACGAUGCAAACAUACAAACUCAAAUUUUCUUUUGAGCAAAUGUAAAAUUUAAUUAAGAUCAGCAAAUGUAAAAGUUUCCUCAUAUAUAUAUUUAAGCAUAACUGUAGACACAAACAACAAACAAAACUGAUUGAUAUGAACCUCCAAAAAUCUCAUGUUAAUCAUUUCAUGAAGAAUACACACACACACACACACACAUAUAUAUAUAUAUAUAGAUAAAAGCAUUUCAUGAAGAAUAUAGGAACAUGAAUUGUAGCAAAAAACUCAUGUUCAUGAUUGUAUAGUGAUAGAUGCUUCCUUCUGUAUUAAUUUAAGUAUAAAUGUAAGUGGAACUGAAUAAGUUAUUCAUUGAACAAAACAAAUCCAAUCUGACGACUAUCUACAUUCUACAAUUGAAUGCUUAUGCAUUUUCCUUUAAAAUUCGGUCCUGCGCCAAAUAUACUGAGAUUGUUCGGAAGGCAAGAGAUAGAUGAGAAUCAAACUCAUAUUCGGAUUUAAUAUAGAAAUCUCACCAUUUGUACUUGUGGGCCCUUUGCCUGAAAUUUUCAGUUCUCUUCAAAUGCAAGAUGAAGAACUGAAAAACUUAAAGCUUGUGAAGCGUUCAAAACGAUAAAGAAUUAGUUGGUUUUCAAUAGCUUAGACCAUGUUUGAAUUGCAGUAUUCUACUGAAAAUUUUUUACGUUCUUUCACGAGCAUAUUUUUUAAUUAUCUUUUAAACUCAUAUAUAUAUAUAAAUUUAUUACAAUAUAUUUUUCUAUGAAAAUUUUUAAAUGUAGCGAUCCAAAAGGAACCUUAAUAAAUCUUGAUGGUGCUGGAAUGACAAAUUGGCAUCCUGAAUCUUCCUUGAACUUUGUGGUCUCGAUGAAAACGCAUCACCAAGACCUUUUCCUCGAGUACUUUUUUUUGAAAAGUACAUUUCCUCAAGUUCUUGAACGGCCCAAAUUGAGCAAACAAACCUUUUCGUGAUACUUGGCAUUGUUUCACAUGAGGACCCAUACAUUGAGAUGCCACACUAUGUCUUGUCUCCACAUCUGAGGCUCUAACCUGUAAAAAGACCAAGGAGGAAAAAGUGCCAAAUUUCCACGUAUUCCGUUGCUGUGCCAGGCAAGUCAUUUUUAUCUACAGGCAAGUCAUUUUUAUCUGCAUCUUUCUGCCAACCAAGCAUGUGCCAGAUACUGCUGUCCGAUACUACAAAGGGGCGUUGCAUGCUUACCUUCGAGUAAAUUUUGGUCUUUGUCGUUCGAAGAAUUCAAGGUUCAUGUUUGAAUGUUCAUUCGUAAAAUAAAGAAAACUUUUACAUGUCAAAGCCAUAAAUAUAUGUGUAUGUGUGUGUGUGUUAAAAAAUUCUAUGAAUCUGUCUCCAUCAUUUGUACCAUUCCUGCGACUAAAAAGAUUGGUACGUAGUCAUUUGGAGUUAAACAUUCGAAGCAAAUUUGAUGAGACGGAUUUUUCUUUGAGCAAGUUGAUGAGAUGAUUUUCCAAGCAACUCUGAAUUGUUAACCUUUUAAGCCUGUAAUGACUUUCGAAAAGCUUAUAUUACUUUGCACGAAAUUUUCAUUAUAUUACAUCUGCCAAAAAGCUUUUCCUCUUGUCCUGUACUUCAAAAGUAAACAUCCAGAAAAAAGGGCAAAAAAAAAAAAAAACUAAAGGACAUGGAUGAGUGGAGAAACCAGGCUAGAAAACGAUGCAUAUGGUUUUGUCUUACUGUUUAACCUUUGUCUGUUCGUGGUUUAGAAAUCUUUUCCCAGCGUCGGUCCAAAUUAAACAAUGAAACCUGAUAUUUCACGGAAACUAUAUCGCCCCAAUCAUGCCACGUAGUGUGUCUUUGAAUAAACCUCAUGUUAACACGUCCAAUGUAUUUCACUGAAAAUUUCAGUGAAAAUUGCUGAUAAUAACAUGGCGGAUCUUGAUUGAUUAGCCCAGAAUGCUGAUCGUCCUACGUUUUUAUGAUCGAUCACACCAAAAAAGUGGAACCCAACAAAUUAAAGCUCUACUUCAACUGAUUAGACGUAUAAAAGGUCUCGCAUUAGAUUGCAUCGGGUGAAAAAUACUUUUGUCCUAUAUUUUUGCACAAUUGCCAACUUCAGAGAAUUAGAUCAGUGGAAGUCUCCAGUUGGCAUAUCAAGACGAUGAUAUAACAAGGUGGUAGUUGAAGAUCUAGUGAUUAUUGCCGUUUAUAUGUGACAUCAUAUUGUGUUCUUUCUCAAAUAUAUGUAUUGCUUGCUUCUUAAUCGAGUGAAGCCUUCGAUGAAAAGAAAUUAUUAUAUUACCGACCAUUGAUGGAUGGACAAAGAUAAUGCUUCUGCUCAAUUUUUCUAAUUAUACAAGAGUGGUAGUGGCCCUUAUGACCUUGAAUUACCACUUCAUGUAUGAAAUCAAAUAAUUAUAUUUCAUUGAAUUUGGCCACAACCUAUAUAUAUAUUUCUUACUUAUGGAGCGUUUGAUUUGGUGGAAUUUCCAUGAAACAUAAAACUUCAAACUAAAAGAUCAUCGGGGUUCUGUAUCUACAGGCUAUAACUAUAGAAUAUGAGCAAAUCGGGAAAAAUGUCGUUAAACUAUACACUUAUACUAGUUCAGGUCACUAAACUAUUUUUUUAAUGAAAAAUGUCACCGAACUAACCAAAAUGCAUGUUUUAUAUCAUUCAGUAAAAGUUGAGUGUCAAGACAAAUGGAAUGGACAUCAUGUGAUUUGCACAUGUAGCCGACCCUUCAAUUCAGAAGCUCAAUUUAUGAACACAAUUGGGGUAUCGGAGAAGCCAUUGAACUUGACGUACAUUCACAGCAGGGGGGAUAGUCGGACAAGUUUGGAUGGGACUUUGGUGUUUGAACAGGUCGUUUAAGGCAUUAUAUUGCUGUUUGAUUUGUUGGUUGCUAUGUUGUUGACUUUUUAUGAAGAAUUUAUGGAUCCAUUUCAAUGGUAUAGUUCGAAUGCAGUUUGAUUUGAGCUAGCUUUGUUUGGAUUGUAUUUUCUUAGAUUUUUUUUUUUGUAGAAAAAUUACUGUAGCGAUUUGACGUACGUAAAGAAAAAAUGCAAUAGAAAAAUGUGAUCGCAGAAAACGACGCAAAUUUUUGGGCGAAAAAUGGCUGUCCAAAUGGGGCCUUAAUUUUCCACCUUUUUAAACUUUAACUCGAUUGCCUUCUACUACAACUAAUCAAUAUUUUAGCAUCUCCAAACCCACCUCAUCACAAGCAUCGCCUUGCUGGGUUUCUAAUGGUUUUUGUUCCACAACGACGAAUCGGCCGGAGAUACUUCCUUGUGUCUUGAAAUCAUGAAAUUUCAACCUAUCCACCAAAUCAGAGAUUCCUAAAUGGUUGGUAAACCCAUAUCAGAUCUAUGGGUUGAAAGGGAGGAGGAGCUGCCUAUAUUGUUCAGGGGUCGUUUAUGAAGACAAACUUCAAUCAAAAAAUUGAACUAACGAAUUUACCCCUAAAAAAUCAAGUUUGCAACUCACAUGAGAGCAAUGCCAUUUGCCUUGACAAUUAAAUUAGACGGAACGGUACAAAACAUGCAUUUUAAUUAGUUUAGUGAUAUUUUUGGCGAAGAAAAUAUUUUAGUGACUUGAACUAGAACAAGUGUAUAGUUCAGUGAUAUUUUGCACGAUUUGCUCAUAGAAUAUUCUUCCUUGCACGGUCUGAUCACUUAGUCAUGCAACAGAAAAUGAGAGAAAUAUUUCGAAAAGAAAAAAAAAAUAAAAUUGCUUCUUAAAAACUGCCACGACAAGAUCUACUUGAUGAUUUGCAACUUUAUGCAAAGUGGAACGGACAAGAACAAUAACAAACAAACAAACAAGCAUAGCCCUUACACAUUGUAAAUGCAUAUAUCCUCACCAUACUACUUUUUCUCUACCACUCCUAAAAAAAUUCUAAGCUUUAGCCCACAUAGUUUCUAUAUAAACUCCCAAGAAUGCUGCAAACCAGUAUCAACCUCAGACUUUAUAGCCGCACAGUGAUCAUGCCAUACACAAAAAUAAGCUCUACCACCACUCUUACAAGCAGUGUCACCACAGUCGACUGCCAGAAACAAGUCCGAUCGUGGCGGCUCCUCCGUUCUAUCUUAGAGCUACUUAUUCCUAGUUGCAAUUGCGUCUUUGUUAAAGAAAAUGAGUUGCAAGACAAAAAAUGCUGUGACUACAGCUAUUGCUAUUAUCGACAACCUAGUUUCUUCUCUAACACCACCAUCAGUGGCACCGUAUUUGGUCAUCGACGUGGAAAAGUUAGCUUUUGUAUCCAGGAAAACCCUAAAUCCAUCCCGAUGCUUCUUCUUGAACUUGCUAUAUCCACAAGCACACUUGCUAGGAAAAUGAGAGGAGGGUUCGUCAGAAUUGCCCUCGAAUGCAAUACGUGUGGAAAUGGCACAGGCUCCUCUGAUCUUCUUUCAAUGCCCGUUUGGAGUAUGUUUUGCAACGGAAGGGAAGUAGGGUUUGCUGUCAAAAAAAAUCCCUCAAAAGUCGAUAUGGAGGUUUUGCAGCUUAUGGAAUCAGUUGUUGUAGGUGCUGGUACUCUACGUAGAGGAGAACUCAAGAGUGAAGAUGAUAUUAUGUACCUUAGAGGAAAAUUCCAAAGAGUUCAAGCGUCAUCAAAUUCAGAAUCAUUUCAUUUGAUGGAUCCAGAUGGUAAUGUUGGACAGGAAUUCAGCUUUUUCUUCCUUAGGUCUCACUGAAGAUGGGAAUCCAAUUCAUCCAUGCAUAUUGCUUCUUAAUUUAGUAGCGUACUUGGUAGUGGUCAACAACUUUGUAUCACUUUUUUGCUUUCUUUAUAUUCAUUUUUUCCUUUUACUUGUCUUGCCACCCCCCAGGCGCUUUCUUUCGAGUUGUGCCUUCUUGUUGGCAUUACUUUCUUGUCUGUACUAUUAGUUUUGGGUGUCCAAGCAACCCAAAUCCUGGUGAUCCGCUUGUAGAAAAUGUUAUAAUAUAAUUAUGUGAGGCCUUUUGUGCAGUUAGAUUUUCCUUUUUAUUUGUAUUUUUAUUGAUCCUGUUUUUGUAGUUAAUGUUAGCAUCUUAUGAUUUCUGUAUUAUAGUAUUGCCAAAAUUUGGAUAUUCGUAAUUUAAACCGAAACUCCUUCAAUGCUUCUUUUGUCUUUUCCUCUUGCUCUUCCUUUUGUCUCUCUCCCUCUCUCUCUCUCAACCAAGACAAAAUACAAAAUAGGGGAGAGUCAGAAAAAAUUUUCAGUGGGAGUAAUAGUAACUAUAAAAUUUUUUACCUACUCUUUUUUUAGUUUUUUAAGGAAAAAAAUAUUCACCAACAAGUACAAAUGAUGCAUAUAUUUCAUGAAAAAUAUCAAAAAACAAACUCAGAAUUAUUAAUGUAAUAAUAAUUUUAUUUCAAAAGCAAACUAAACUAUUUAUAAUUGCUCAUGACGAGUUUUCAUAUUUUGAUAACGGUUUAUAACCUUUUCAUUUUAAAUUUCACGAAGUAUAUUUUUCUUAAUAUAAGUAACUAAACAAUUAUUCGUCCAAGUGUCUUCUAUUUUAUUUUGUAACCAAUUCUUCACUAUAUUUAUUAUUGAAAAAACCCUUUCUACUGUAGUUGUAUCAACAAGUAAAAUCAAAGACAAAUUUAAAAGCAUAUAAACCAAUAGAUACACAACUCCAGGGGGCAAACUUCAAAUUACAUCAAAUUUUUAUAGAUAUUAUAGAAAUUUAAGGGGACAGUGGAGGCCUAUAAAUCAAUAGAUACAUAAAACUCCAGGGAGUACAGUUGAAAUUACAUCAAAUUUUUAUAGGUAUCAUAGGAAUUUAAGGGCCCCAGUGCCCCCAGUGUAAAUCCACCACAGAUACAAAAUAUAACUAGUGUACGGAUUGUUAGAGGUAGACAAAACUCGAAUAAAUGAAAUUAUAAACAUAUAUCUGGAGCUUAUACAAGAAAUCAAUAUAUGAAAUUAUUGGGAGUUGCCUUUUUCUAUUUAUUGAGCUUUUUCUUUUUGGCGCAAUAAUAGUUGCCUGCUGACUACUUGAUCCUGUGCUCCUAAGCCGGCCAUAAGCACUGAAAUGAUUUGUCUGAUUUGAGGAACUUCUUCUUAAAUACAAUUUAUGGUUAGCACAAACAAAUCAAGCAACUAAUUGAUUAGAAGUUCCCCAAAAAAAUAUAUUAAUUUUAAAUCUACUUAUAGAAUGAAUAACAGAUAUAAUAUCAAACCAUGAUCAUAAGUCGAGGCGGAUCUACAAUGGGGGCACUGGAGGCACAUGCCCUCACUGCCCCCAAAUAAUUCUACUGUGAUCUAAGUAAUUUUGAGAAUUUUUCAGUUGUACCCCUAUUAUGACCCAUGCAAUUUUGAGAAAUUUUUAAUUAUGCCCAUUAUGUUGUUUAGCAGUAAAUGUAAAUAUAAUUAGUUUGUAACUUAAUGGAAUUGAAAUGUUACAAAAUUCAAAACAAUGGCCCUUUUACAUCAAUAAAAUAAUUUUAUGAAUUUUUUAAAACAAAAGUAAAGAUAUAGAGUAAUUGUACAUGUUGCUUAGUUAAAAUAAAGUAAAUUUAAUUUUUUCCAAUACAGUGUAGGUGAGUGACUUUUUUAAUAGAAUAAGAAAUUUUAUAUCCUUGUGCCUUACAAAUCUACAGGUCUAUGGUUACUUUAAAAGGUUUUUUUUAACUUUUUAAAGAAAAUUAUUGUGUAAUUAUGUGAUUUUGUGUUAUAUUACCCAUUAAAUAAAAAGUUUUAUGUUGGUUCGAGCAACUACUUGGUAGGCCUAGUAGUUGCUCCAAGACCAAUGAAAAAGUUCCGCAUGAAUAUACAAGGGCCUCGAUAAAUAAAUGCAAUACAUUUUAUGUGAAUAUUGUUGUUAUGUAUUAUUUUUAUGAAAGACAAAGAAGAAAAUUUGAUAUUAUUUUUGCCCCACUAACAAUUAUUUCUGACUUCACCACUAAUCAUAAGUACACAUGAUAAUUAAAGAACAAGGGAUGUUAGCUCUAAUCGAUAUAACUUGAUCAGACUAUCAGAGCAUCUGCAAAUCAUAAAAAUUAGAGAAAUAUCGAGACGUAAGGCAUAAGGGAAAGCAAAGAGAACCAAGGAAAUCAUAAUAGUUGCAAAUAAAGUCUACGCUUGCAUCCAUCCUUUACGUGCUUCUUAUUUUAUUUAUUCUUUCGGUGUGUAUAAAUACAUACUUUACGGAUUUUUGGUAAUGGGAAAGAACUUCUCAUCAUUUUUUUUUCGAUCCUGCUGCUGCACAGGAAUGAAUUAGAUAAGAAACAGUAGAAAGCAAACAAUCUAUAAGGAUAGUAGGAGUAUUUUUCUUUGAGAAACGGAAUUUGCCUAUCAAGUGCCACUUUGAGCUGUACAGAACACCACGUGGAUUCACAAUAUUACAAAGCAUCUCCUUACUAAUUCAACCUUGGAAAAGGCAUUACUUGUUUUUUGUCGUAUUACUCCCCGUUCCAUUCAAGAUGUCAUACUUUAUUUUUUGGCUGUCCCAGAAUAUUUAUCAUGUUUGAUAUUUUUAACUAUUUUAUAUCAUUUCAAAUGUGAUAGGAUUGUUUUCUACUUCUUAUUUUGACCAACACAUAAUUAAGGGCAAAAAUUAAAUAAAAGGAAACAUUUUUUGGUGGAGUGCACUGUGUACAAAAAGCAUAUAUCCCCAAACAUGAUUAAAUAUAUGGAACAGAGGAAGUAUGAUUUUUUAAAGUAUUAAUAAUGAGUAUUAAUUUGCGGGAAGAAAUAAAGGAUCAGUUUAAGCUAUUUUGAUGAUAGGAAACUAUUUCAAAACAACAAAUCGUCCAGGACAAACAACAACACAUUGGAAAAUAUGAAAAGGUUUGAACACUUGAAACUGAAGCAAUUACUAUAUAUUUAUUCGCUUCUAUGUUCCCCUUGUCCCGAUGGAUUGCAAACAUUAGCAUCUGUUUCCUUUGAAUUUAUUCAAAUUCUACAGCAAUCUGCUUUGGAGAUAAAAACAUUAGCUAUUUACACUUUCUACCCGUUUUUAGAUGUCUCCACGCACAACAUGUUUGAUAUAUUGUAUUUUUGUCAUAAAAUUCAUGAUUGUUUUCCCUUUUACUUUACUAAAUAUUAUGUUAAUUAGUGGAUUCUAUUUAUAUUUGGUAAUUGUGUUGAUUGUAGGGAUUCGAAGCGAAAAAGAGUUAAACACACGAAUUUUAACUAAUUUCUGUGCAAUUUGGCAUGAGCACAGCAAAGUCUAAUCCUGCAUGUCUGGAAAGUUCGAAAUUUAGCACGUGAUCUCCAAAAUUCGAAUUGAAGUCACAACGAUCAGAUGUCUCACUAGAUGGAUAGUAUUUUAUUCCUACUAGGAUACUGGUCCAUUUUGUGUAGUAAGACACUUCGUUUUUGUUGGGAUAAGAUUUGAUUUAUUACAAUUUGAUUCCGCCAAGUAGUAACAGUUGAUUAGUAUAAGGAACGAAGACUGGGAGGACUAUCGUUUCUCUAUCCUUUCUUUUCUCCAAGGGGAGACUAGUCAGUAGGGAGGUCUCAUUUCUUCUUAGGAAGAAAUAAGAGAACCGAAUUCAUUUUUCUUUUCCCAGGGAAUUCAUCUCAAUUGAAGAAUGGCCGCAGCAAUAAAUUUCAAUAUUUCGCGCGUGGCUUUUUCUAUGAAAAUGAACUAAACUUUUCAUUCUAGUCAAGAAAUAACAGAGAAUUUGGUUCAUCUAAAAUUGUUAGAUCGAAUUGAUUAUAUUUAUUUCCUUUAAUUUACCAGUAUUCGUAUGUUUUUUGAUUUAAUUUCUUAUGGUUAUUAUUUUAUUUGAAUAUCAAGGGCUCCCGAUAUUUAAUUUAAUCUAAUAAUCUAAAACCAGUUAAAGCAGUUAAAUCCGUAAUUGUUUGAUUAUUUUAAAUUAGUGGUGACUGGUAUGAUUGAAUUUGUAUUAGGAGAAUAUAUAAACUAACUUAAAAUAACCUUCGUAGCAUAUUAUUUAGUUAGAACAGGGUUUCUCUAAUUUUUAAAAUAAUUGAAAAAUUAAACUCUAAGAUCAUACCUUGGGUUAUUUUUUGAUUAGAAAAAUGAUUAACGAUCGUACCUUGAUCACCAAUAUAGUAAGGAGAAAUUGAUUGUCAUCGCAUGUUUGUUUAUCAGUGAGUGAAUGAAAUUAUUACUGCAUCCAUGAUCAAUUGAAUGAACUAUUUCCAAAGUUAUUUCUUGACUAGAGUUUAUUUAUUAUUAUUUAAUUUUUAGUUAAAUUAUCAGUUAGGCCUUUUUAUUUGAUUUGAUUAAUUAUUCACAUUUUUAUAAAACCCUCUUAUUCUGGACCCUAAAAGAAAUAAUUUUUUUCUCCCUGUGGAUUCGAUCCUAUUCACUACUAUAUAUAAAAUUUAUAUUUUAAUUGAGUAGGUAAUUAUUAGUAUACAGACUUGACACUUGUCAAUUUUUAACACCAUUGCCAGGGAUUGAUAUCUAAUUAAUUUGUUUCUUUUUUUGAGUUCAUCUUAUUUUUAUUUAUAUUUUUCUCUUAUUUCUAUUUUGCUAGUUUAUGCCUACUAAUAUUCCUUAUUUUAGUGAUCGACUAAAUUUUAUUCCUAAGAGGGUAAUGAAACUUGUGUUUUUUCUAAUUAUCAAUAUUUAGAUACACUAAUCUUUCAUGUAGAAAAUUUGACUGUUGCAACUUGUGAAGUUUGUUAUACCUAGAAUCACUUAAUCUACAUAUGCCCCGUAUUUCAAAAUAACAUGAAUACCUCACUCAAUAUUUUUGGAGAUUUUUCAUUCCAAUUUCGAAGGUAGUAUGACCCUUAUUCAAACAGGUAUAAUCAAGAAUGGUGGGACAAUUUUAACUUUAAUUAUGCAACAGAGCCAAUCGAUUUUCAACAUCAAUAUCAACAGAGUUUCAAGAAUCAUCAUUCAUGUCAGGUAUGUCUUUUGAAAAAAUGAUGAAAUUAUUAACUGUUAAUACAUAUCGAUUUCAACAGGAGACACAAAUAAAAAUUAGAGGGACGGUGUUGAUUUUAGUCCCUAUCUUUUGAUGUUUACAAAAUAAAUGGAUGAUACUAAUAUCUCUUCAAGAUAUAUUUUCAGUUAUGAAGUAAAUCAGAUUCAAAUAUCAAACGCAAUUGAAAGAAACAAAGGUUGUUGAAAGCUAUCGGAUGCUUGUGAAGACAGGAUCGGACGUCCGAUAAUCAUUGCGCAACUUCGGAUGCAUGAAGAACUCCAUCACCAGAUGUCCGAAGGAAAUAAGACAUUCUCCCUAACUCACUGACCUCGAUCGGACGCAAGUAUCAGACGUCUGAUAGGAUCUUUCGAACUCGACGAAAGCUGUCGGACGCUCACAAAGACAAUAUCGAACGUCCGAUAGAAUUGAGAUAUUCUUUCUAACUUAUUGUCUGCUUUCGAACGCAAGCACCGGAUGUCCGAUAGAAUUAAAGAAAAUCUCUUAAACUCACUGUCUGCUGUCGGACGCAAGAAACCAGACUACUGGACGUCUGAUACCCCAACGGUUAGUUGACUAUUCAGCUACUUUUUAUCCAUUGGAAGUAUUAAUGAAACACUUUCUUGGUCUUGUAUAAAUAGUGCAUGGUCAGAAAUUUCAAACAACUUUUGCACACUGAAAAUAUAAAAAAUCUAGAGUAGUUUUAGUGAGAAAACACUCACCAAAGAAGAUUUGUAGUUUUGGUGGUGUGAAAUUCAUUGUAAACUUUUCAUUUGUGAAUGAAUACUUCAAUAGUGUAGCUCUGAGAGAGUUGUCCUGAGAGAUAGUAAAACUUUUUAGUUUGACUGAGUGAGACUUGGAGUAAGGAGGAAGUGAGCCUUCAUUUGUACAUAAGAUUGAUUGUAUUUUAUCAAUUUGAAAAAAUUUGUUUGAAUUGACCUACAAACUCAAGAGAAGCUUGGUAGUCAAUUGGUUUGUAAUUUUUCUCUUCUUAGUUACUUAUUGUUAUCGUGUGAUUUUUAAAUUGCUUAUAUCUUUUACUUCUCUCAAGUGAUAUUAUUUUUUUAUUGAUUGAUUUAUUGUAUGAUCAUUUAAAAAAAGAAGAUAAAUUUCAUAUUGAGUAAAAAGUACCCAUAACUUGAUUAGUUUUAUAAUCAAUCUAAUUCACUCCCCUCUUAACUUGUUUUCGAUUCUUACAAUUGGUAUUAGAGUUUAGUCUCCUAGAGAUUAAGUUCCAAUAGUUUAGAAGUAAAGAUGACAACCAACAAUGCCAUAUUUUUAGAAGGACAAUCUGUUAUUAGACCAUCUAUAUUUAAUGGGUCAAAUUAUAUGAGUUGAAAAGAAAAAAUGAUUAUUUUCUUGCAAUCGAUUGAUAUUGAAUUGUGGUUUAUUGUUAAUGAAGGUCCAUAUAUUACCUCUAUAGUAGAUGAUAUUACUCAUAGAUCAAGAUAAAAAACUAGAAAUGAAUUGACUGCAGUUGAUAGAGCUCAUCUCAUAUUAAAUGCAAAAGUUAUGAAUGUGUUAUAUUGUACUUUAAACUCAAAUGAAUCUAUUAAAGUCAAGAGAUGUAAGUCAACUAAAGAAAUUUGGGACAAACUGCAAAAAAUUUAUGAAGGUAGUGAGAAUGUUAGAAAACAAAAAAAAUCUAUCUUGAUUACUAAAUAUGAUUCGUUUAAGAUGGAAUCUCAUGAAAAUAUUGAUAAAAUGUAUUGUAAAUUCAAUGAUUUUAUUAAACAUCUAGAGGUUCUAGAAAAGAAAUAUACCUUAGGAGAGAAAAAUAGAAAAAUCUUGAAUGCUCUGUUUAAAGAUUGGAAAAGUAAAGUGACUACUAUUGAAGAGGCAAGAGAUCUGAAUUCUAUGUUUGUUGAAUCUUUUAUAAAUUCUCUAACAUUUUAUGAGUUGAAACUUAAGUCUAAAGUGCAAGAGGAAGAGAUUGUUAAGGUGAGGAGAAGCAUAGCUCUAAAAAUUUUUCAAGAUGAAGAUGAUUCGGCUUCCUUAGAUGGGGGAGAUGUUGAAGUUGAUAACAAUGACCUUGCUCUCAUCACAAGAAGUUUCAAAAGAAUUCUCAACAAUAGGAGAUUUAGAAGAGGAAAAUCCAGCAAUACAUUUUCAAAUCAAUUCAACAAUAUAAAAAAUAAAGGAAAGCAAGAUGCCAACAAAAGUAAUCUGAAAAAUGCUUUGAGCGCGGCCAGCCGGGACACUACAUGAAUGAGUGCCCAAUGAAGAAAAAGAAAGAAGAAAAAGUUGAACGAAAAUCAAAGUUUAACAACUUUCAAAUCAUAUGGGAUGAUUGCAACUCGGAUGGUGAUGUUGAAGAAAAAGAAGAAUCUGCUCAAAUGACUUUCAUGACCAUUGGUGAUGAUGAGGUAACUAUUUGUAAUUCUCAACUUGACAGUGAUGAGGAAUAUGAUGAUGAUGUUAAUUCUUUUAUUGAAAGAUUGCAUAGCAGCUUGAAAGACUCUUGUGCUAGGAACAAAGAAUUAAAACAAAAAAUCAAUUUUCUUAUUCAGGAUAAUGCAAAUCUUUUUUAACUGAACAAGAAUUUGAAAGUUGAAAAUGAUAAGUUAAGAAAAGUUGAGACUGAUCUACGUGCUGAACUUGAUAGAAAAAUAAAGCUUUGUGAGUUGUUCAAAAAGGAGCAAAGUGGUUUGAAAAAAAGAAUGGAUGAUUUAAAUGAAUUGCUUAAACAGAAGAAAUAAGUCUGUUUUCAAAACAAUGAACCAAAAUUUCACUUUGACAUUCAUAAGAAAAUGUUGAAUUUUAAUGCAAACAAAUUUACCAUUUAUAAAAGAAAACAAGUCAGAUUUGUUAAACCUGUUUAUAUAAGCAAUUACCUGACUAUGUGUAGUUUCUGUUGUCAAGUUGGUCACAUAAAAAAUAAUUGCUAUGUAAGGAAAAAUAUAAGAAAUGACAUGAAAUACAUGUGGACAGUUAGACAUGAUGUUAACUCUCAAGGACCCAAAAAUUUUUGAAUACCAUAUAUUAGUUCUUGAUAUCUUGAAUAGGUGAAUUUGGUGAACAUUAUUAAGAAAGUAAAGUGGUUCAUAAACAGUGAAUGUUCAAAACACAUGACUGGUGAUCCAUCACAAUUCAUCAAAAUUCAAGUCAAAGUCUUGUGGCAAGUGACAUUUGGAGAUAAUAGGAAAAUUAAAACAUUUGGAAUAUGAGAUAUUAGUAAGAUUGGUGAGAUUUUUGUUCAUAAUGUUCUUUUGUAAUUGUUUUUUGGUGUUUCUGAUACUUUGAACUGCAUUUUCCUUGAUAUUUUUUAAUAUUACUGAAUUUUUAUGAUGACAAAAAAGGGGGAGAAAAGAAUAAUGCUAAUCUAAUGAUGGUUUGCUUUGAUAAUUACUUUGACUGUUACUUUUCUGUUUGGUAUCAUUUUCUAUUUUUUGGUUGAUGAUUGCUGAAUAUUGGUAUGUUGAUGAUUCUGAUAUCAUUUUUCUAUUUUUAUUUGAAAUAUUAGAUUCUCUGUUAUUGCUGAUGGAUUAUGAUUGCUAAUUUUUACUCUUAUCUUAUGAUGACAAAAAAGAGGAGAAAUGGAUGCUGUAUAUAAGGAAAAUUAUUAUAAAUUUGAAAUUUUGGAUGCAAUGAGUAAGGGAGAGAUUAUGCUCAAUCUUUUUUUCUUACAUCCAUUGUUUUGUCAUCAUCAAAAAAGAGGAGAUUGUAGAUCUUAGUCCCUAUCUUUUGAUAUUUACAAAAUAAAUUGAUGAUACUAAUAUAUUUUCAAGAUAUACUUUCAGUUAUGAAAUAAAUCAGAUUCAAAGAUCAAACGCAAUUGAAAGAAAUAAAGAUUGCUGAAAGCUAUCGGACGCUUGUGAAGACAGGAUCGAAUGUCUGAUAAUCAUUGUGCAACUUCGGAUGCAUGAAAAACUCCAUCACCAGACGUCCAAAGGAAAUAAGACAUUCUUCCUAACUCACUAAUCUCAAUCGGAUGCAAGUAUCGGACGUCCGAUAGGAUCUUUCGAACUCGACAAAAACUGUCGGACGCUCACAAAGACAAUACCGGAUGUCCGAUAGAAUUGAAAUAUUCUUUCUAACUUAUUAUUUUCUUUCAGACACAAGCACCGAACGUCCGAUAGAAUUGUAGAAAAUCUCUUAAACUCAUUGCCUGCUGUCGGACGCAAGUAACCAAACUACCGAACUUUCAAUAUCCCAACGGCUAGUUGACUGUUCAACUAUUUUUAUCCAUUAGAAGCAUUAAUGAAGCAUAGUGCUUGGUCUUGUAUAAAUAGUGCAUGAUCAGAAAUUUCAAACAACUUUUGUACACUGAAGAUACAAAAGAUCUGAGUAGUUUUAGUGAGAAAACACUCACCAAAGAAGAAUUAUAGUUUUGGUGGUGUGAAAUUCAUUGUAAACUUUUCAUUUGUGAGUGAAUACUUCAAUAAUGUAACUUUGAGAGGGUUAUCCUGAUGGAUAGUAAAACUUUCUAGAUUGACCGAGUAAGACUUGGUGUAAGGAGGAAGUGAAUCUUCCUUUGUACACAAGAUUGGUUGUAUUUCAUCAAUUUGAAAAACCUUAUUUGAAUUGACUUAUAAGCUCAAGAGGAAUUUGGUAGUCAAUUGGUUUGUAAUUCUUCCCUUUUUUAGUUACUUAUUGUUAUCAUGUGAUCUUUAAAUUACUUAUAUCUUAUACUUCUCUCAGGUGAUAUUAUUUUUUUAUUGAUUGAUUCAUUGUGUGAUCAUUUAAAAAAAGAGGAUAAAUUUCAUAUUGAGCAAAAAGUACCCAUAACUUGAUUAGUUUUUUAAUCAAACUAAUUCACCCCCUCUUAACUUGUCUUCAAUCCUUAUAGACUGAGAAUAGAAUGUAUCAACAACUAUUAUCCAUAUCAAGUAUGUCUUUUGAAAAAAUAAUGAAAUACUAAUUGCUAAUAUGUAUCGAUUUCAACAGGAGACACAAAUGAAAAUUAAAAGGAUGAAAGAUGGAAUGCAUCAACAAUCAUUAUUCACGUCAAGUAUGUCUCUUGAAAAAAUAAUUGAUCAUUUUCAACAGGAGAUACAAAUGAGAAUCAGAAGAAUGGAGGAUCAAAGGCAUCUAUUUGCAUCUACAAUGAACCAAUUGCUUUCUCUAAUUUGUGAAGAAUUGCCUUACAGACCAUUAUCGACCUUAAGAAAAAUGGGAGUGCAAUUAUCCUAACAAGUGAUAACAAACUGCAACAGUCUUAAGGAGAAGGAUUAAAAGAUGCAGUUGAAAAGGAAAUUAAGAAUAAAGAAAUAAAACCUCAAUCUUAAAUCAUGCAAGUGAAUGAAUCUAGUGAGCAAUUCUCAAAUGUGGUGACAUUUCUUUCAUUCUCUAAUCAAUAUUUUUCUAACUUUUAUUCUAUAAUUUCUGUUAGUAAGAUUGAUUUUAUUAUAUCAGAAGUUGUUGAAUCUCAUUGCAGGAAUAAGUUUAAAGUUGUGAUGUCCAAAUGUCUUGAAUCGAUAAUUGUUUGUACAUUGUUUAAUUGUUUGACACCAUCUACUAGUCAAUGAGAAAACGUAACUCGUGUACUUAAAGAUCACUCUACUGAUGAACGUUGCCAAGAUUACAUAGAGGAUAAAACACAGAAACGAACAACACGAUUUUAUUCUCCUUGAACAAACAUGACAAUGUCUAGCCAAAAAUUUUAAAGAAAAGAACUGCUUGGGAGGCAAUCCAAGGAUUUUUAAUUUUUAAUUUUAGUCAUUUCAUAUGUAUUGUUUAAUUUUUAGGUGCAAUUUAAGUGAUUUUAUUUUUUUUGUGUCAGAAAGUAGUUCGCUAGAAGACAUGCUCAAGUCAGAAUUGAAUGUUGAAUAUUUCAUAUCCAUCAUAAUUUUUCAGAAGACUCUUUAUGAAUUUGGCGUGGCCGCGCCUUCUAAUCGCACGCUAGGGAAAAAAUUUUCACGAUGCAACGUCAGAAGACUUUCAAUUUUUAUGAUGUGCCCGUGCCUUCUGAUUACGUGUUAGGAAAAAAUUACUUAAAAUCAUGAUCAGAAAAUUCUUCCACUUUAUGACGUGCCCGCAUCUUGUUCCAGUGAGUGGGGUUGAAAAAAAAUCAAAAAUUUUUUCCCUUUCUUUUUUUUCUCUUUUUUUCUUUCUCUCUUUUUCUUCAUUCUUUCUUUUUUCUCUCCCAGACGUACGAUCAAACCCUUAGGGUUUCUGCUUCCAUCCUGCCUCUACCAUCUUCUCAAGAUGAGCAGUUUUAGACUCUUCAAGUAGAGAUGAAGUGGAUGACUGGACGUCUUACUCGCCUCGAACUUUAUAUUUUCAAGAUGACGCAGAACUUGGUCACCUUCUUUCAUCACGUAGGAUUCAACCCACAUUUUGCUCCUGACCUGUAGUCAUCCGUGACCCCUCGUUAAUCAGAGAAGUUUCGUUGUCCCUUUUUCCUUCUCUUUUAAUACUUUAUUACUUACAUUGGGGACAAUGUAAGAUUUAGAUGUGGGGAGAGUAGUAUAUUAGAAAAGUGCAAGUGUAUGCAUUUUUUGUUCAAAUUUUUUAUUCAAUUUUUAAAAUUUUAUCUACUUUUUACCUAUCUUUGUGCAUAUUAAUGGUUAUCUUUGAUAAACAAUGGUUAGAUUCUCAAAAUUUUCUAUUGUUAAGAUUUUAUAUUUUAAGGUGUUAAGUAUGACAUAAUUAAAUUUAAUGAUGUCUAUUUAGUGAAUAUUUGAAAUUUUGUGAUUUCUGCGCUUUUUGAUUAAUUUCUGUGUAUUGUAAAUAUUUGUCUGGUAUAUUUUGUGCAAAUUGGUUUAAUUAUUAAUCUUAGUUCUCCAUGUUUAAAAAAUAAAGCAGGUUUGUAUUAUUUUUAAUUUUAAUUUGGUGCUUAUUUAUCAAUAGUAUUUGGCUAUACUCUGCUAGUUAUCGUUACCUAAUAAUCGGGGAUUUUCAUCGAAAGUAUCGAUUUUUGUGUCAAAAAGUGACUAUAACUAUGAGUAUGUGAUUUUUAAGCGACAAGGGUUGAGUAACCGGAUUUCUUCAUUUGGUAGAUGUUGAAGUUCGCAUCAAAAGAUUAUAAUGGUUAAAAACUAAAUAUUUUCCUCGAAAAAGCAAAAAAAAAAAAAAAAGAAGAAAAGUUGUGCUAAGGGUGAAAAAAUGAAAAAAAUAUGUGGAUGGUUAUAUUAGUUUGCUGAUCCAUGAGUUUUAAUGUUGAGAUUUUGCUUAAUAGUUGAAUCAUUUGCUGAAAAAUAUUGGUUGAAUAUUUAUGUUUUUAGAUUAAUUAGUCAGAAAUUGCAAAAGUCUCUGAUUUUAAAAGCUAAUUAGAGAGAUAUUUCUUAGAAAUUAACCACUAAUACUUGACAUGUGUUUUAAGUGUAACUUAACAAUAGAUAAUUUGAGUAAUAACCAUUGUUUGAAUUUAAUUAUUUAGUAGUACUUGAUUAGCUACUCUAGUGCUCGAGGACAAGCACAGUUUAGGUGUAGGGAAAAUUGAUAGGUUGCAUUUUUGUCAUAAAAUUCGUGAUUGUUUUUCCUUUUACUUUACCAAAUAUUGCGUUAAUUGGUGUAUUCUAUUUAUAUUUGAUAAUUGUGUUUAUUGUUGGGAUUUAGAGUGAAAAGGAGUUAAGUACAUGAAUUUUAACUAAUUUCUAUGCAAUUUGGCGUGGGCGCAUCAAAGUCUAAUCCUGCACGUUCGAAAAGUGCGAAAUUUGGCACAUGAUCUCCAAAAUUUGAAUUGAAGUCACAGGGGUCAGAUGUCUCACUAGAUGGAUAGUGUUUUAUUCCUCCUAGGAUGCUAGUCUAUUUUGUCUACUAAGACGUUUCGUUUUGUUGGGAUAAGGUUUGAUUUGUUACAAUUUGAUUCCACUAAGUAGUAGUAGUUGAUUAGUGCUAGGGACGAAGAUGGGGAGGACUACGGUUUCUUUAUCCUUUCUUUUCUCCAAGGGGAGAUUAGUUAGUAGGGAGGUCUCGUUUCUUUUUACGAAGAAACAAGAGAACCGAAUUCAUUUUUCUUUUCUUGGGGAAUUCAUCUCACUUGGAGAAUAGCCACAGCAAUAAAUUUCAAUAUUUUGUGCGUGGCUUAUUUCAUGGAGAUGAGCUAAGCUUUUAUUCUAGUCAAGGAACAACGGAGAAUUUGAUUCAUCCAAAAUUGUGAGAUCGAAUUGAUUAUAUUUAUUUCCUUUAUUUUGCUGGUAUUCGUAUGUUCUCUAAUUUAAAUUCUUAUGGUUAUCAUUUUAUUUAGGGUAAAAAAUAAAAAAAUUCCCUGUGAUAAACCUAAUACACAGAAAACCUCCCAUGGUUUCAAAAUAUACAACACGACCCCUCAUGUUUUGAACUAAAUUGUAAAAGUGACGGAAUCCGUUAAACUUAACGGAAAUGAACAAAAUGACCAAAAUGCCCUGAUAUAAUAAAGCAAAAGAUAACUCAAAAAAAUCAUUUGUUUUAUUCUCUAAAUAGAUAGAAUUGAGGGUUAAGGGGUAAAAUAGGUAUAUUUGAUAAAAAUUAGGUAUAAAAAAAUUUUUUUAGGUUCCAAUAAGUCAUUUCCGUUAAAUUUAAUGGAUUCCGUCACCUUUACAAUUUAGUUCAAAGCAUGAGGUGUCGUGUUGUAUAUUUUGAAACCAUAAGGGGCUUUUCUGUGUAUUAGGCUUAACACAGGGGGCUUUUUUGUUUUUUACCCUUUUAUUUAACUAUCAAGAACGCCCGAUAUUUAAUUUAAUCUAAUAACCUAAAACCAGCUAAAGUAGUUAAAUCCAUAAUUGUUUAAUUACUUUAAAUUAGUAGUGGCUGACAUGAUUGAAUUUAUGUCAGGAGAACAUAUGUGUUAACUUAUAAUAACUCUCGUAACGUGUUAUUUGGUUAGAACAGGGUUUCUCAAAUUCUUAAGGCAAUUGAAAAAUUAAACUCUAAGAUCAUAUUUAGGAUUAUUUCUUGAUUAGGAAAGUGAUUAAUGGUCGUAUCUUGAUCACCGAUACAGUAAGGAGAAGUUGAUUAUCAUCACGUGUUUGGUAGUUAUAAUUUGUUUAUCAGCGAGUGAAUGAAAUUAUUAUUCCAUCCAUGAUCAAUUGAGUGAAUCAUUCCCAAAGUUAUUUUUUGGCUAGAAUUUAUUAUUGUUUCAUUUUUAGUUAAAUUAUCAGUUAGGCCUUUUUAUUUGAUUUGUUUAAUUAUUCACAUUUUUAUAAAACCCUCCUUACUUAAUUCAUAUUUGUUUACGGAAAAGGCAAACUUUUAAAGUAAUUUCAUUUGUUUUUAACUCCCAAACAAAAGAAAAUCACUUACCUUCUUUUGUUUCUUAAAACUCCCAAAUAAUUUAGAUAGAAACUUGGAUCCUUUCCCAUCCUUAUUUUCUUUUCUAACUUCUCCUUUCUCUUCUUUUAUUUUCUACUCUAAACUCCCAAAUUAGUUAUAAGAAAGAAGCAAGGAAUUAGACAUUGGUCUGCAACUUUUAUAUUAUUUUGCUUUGCCCUCUAAAGUUUUGCAAAACCGUAAAUGCUUCCAUAAAUUUCUUUAUUUGUUCAAAUAAGUCUCAUAAAUGAGUCUUAGGCACCUCAAUUUACAUGUAAAGCUUAAAAACAUUCAAUUAGAGUUAGGAUUCGAGGAUGUUAAAAUUUAGGAUGUAUCAAAAUACAAAUAGAGAGAUAAAGGAACAUUUUUAUUCAUAUUAAUAAUACACUUACACAUAUUUUUGUGUAUGAUCUAUUUAAUUUUUAAUUAAUAUAUUUAUGACAAUACUAUGAUAGCACCCGGUUCUUAGACCAAUCCGAUCCUGAUCGAAUCCAUUAACUUUUGAUUCUUGAGUUCAGCUGAGCCACUACUUGGUAUGACUUUCAAAACAUAGGUACAAAUUAAAGAUUUUUAAAAAAUUUUGGGGUGGCUGCUCCUGGAUCCGUCCUUGGCUAUGACACCAUUAACAAGUUCAAAAGUUUGACCCUGAUAAAGACGUGUCAAGAUGGAAGAACUGUAACCAAUCAGAUAGUUAUCUGUAGAAAUUGACUAUGGACUGUUUCUAUAAAUGACAUCUGACAGAGAUAUAUCAGAUUAAAGGCUCUGUAACAAUUGAUCCAAGGAACAAUAGUAAAGGCCGUGUAUCUUGCCUAGGCUUAAUGAGGAAGACAAUUUACAUUAGGUUCCAAGCAAAACAGGCGUUUACGCUGCUAAGCCUGCAAUGGCCAUCAUGUUCCAGACCAGGCCAAUGUUUGCAUGGUUCAAAGUACAUGUGUUGAGGGAUGCAUUAAACCCGUGGCUAGCGUGUGGUGGGAGGCUAGCAACUAAGAUAGGUUGUUAGCUUGGGGUUCGAGUGUGGAUCCUUCAUGCGUGCAGUAGCUAGCUUCUGAAUCUAUAUCACACGUUCUUUUUCUUUUCUUUCUUUUUUUUUGUAGUUUUUGGCUGGCCUUUUCUUGCUUAUGUAUGGUAAUCAGUGCGGAAGUUGUGAUUGAUCUAUCCUGCAGUUGGACAUUGGGAUUCUAAGCUGCAAUGGAUGGUUCAACAUGCAUUGGUUCUCAGCACUCCUUUGUUGGUGCUAAUGCGCUAUUAGAAGACUUGCCUUAGCAGCAAUAGUUUAUCACGCGUGGAGAAAUGUUUGUGGAGUACACUGAUGAAACAGAUAGUGAAAGAUAUCUGGGAUUCUGGAGAUUGUGGCUGGUUGGGCAAGAAGGGACUUAAGCAACACAAAGCUCUAAAUCUUCGUACAGAAUUGGAUAUUUCUAAUUCCAUGAUUUGACAUGCAUUGUCAAUAUUGCUGCUUAUGUUUGAGUCGAGUUCAUAAUUUCUGUUUCUUUGACAGAUUGUAUGGGUAUCCACCUCACUUGUGAAAGCUUUUUGCCCAUUAAAAACAUGUCAUACUGAAAGAAAAAGAUUAGCCUUGUAAGCCCAAACGAUGCAACUAACAUGAUAUCAAGUUCCCAAAAGUGGAAGAAUAGAGUAGAAUAAGGGGCGUAUUAUUCAUUUUUCUUUUUGUUGGAUAAGAAGAUGGUGCAUAAAAAUCAAACUUUGACUUUGGUUGAUAAGCUUUUAUUAAUUAUUGAGCAACCUGUACGUGAUAAUCCACACACUGUUCAAUGAAUAUAUGGUAAACCUUGCCAGUUACGUACUAUGCAGCAAUCACUCAUUGAUCUUGAAAGUUUCCACUUCAGCGAACAUCUAUCAUUUUGCACACGAUUAUUUCAAAUUGACGACUAUGCAACAAGAAAGUUCUCUAUUACGGAUACCAUUGCAGUUAGCACCAUCCAAAAGAGCCCCGAUGUCAUCUCCAAUCCAAGAUCAUCUUUUUAUCGUUAUUAACAAAUCCACGGCAACAAAAUUAUAAAGCCCACGACCAUGACAUUUCAUGGUUAAGCAUUUCCCAGGGGACAUAGACACAUGAUUUUCUGAGCUUCCUAGGACAGAAUUGUCUUUCUGUCGGGUAUUGUUUUGUUUGAUUGACUAGGAAAUUUUGUUUAAUGUGCCAAAAUUGGCCUAAAGUAAUAUUUUUCCCUUUAAAUUAAUGUGAGUGUUUAUACACUCAUUUUGUGAGUCGAAUUUUAAUAAGUCCAUACUCAACUCAUACAGAAAUCAUCUUACAGCCCGAAUUCAAUCCAUUCUCGGUACAUAGAAAUAUCUGCCUUGUGUAUAAUUAUAAUUACAUCGGAGCUUUAUUCUAUGAACUACAGGCGCCCAAACUCAAUACGCAAUAAAAUUGUACUUCAUAUUAAAGUUCAAGCUCAACCCAACCUAACAUUAUAUGAAGCUAGGUCUCUUUUUCUUAGGAUCAAACAGGCCAAAUUCAGGCUGAUCCAAAAUAGUCCUUGUUUGCUAGGGUUGGUUGGGAAUUUCAAUGCCAAAUGAGUCUCACGGUUGCCAAGUGACUAACCUUCUCCGCACUCUGCCCCCAUAAUCAGCUAAAAUCCUCCCUCUCAAUCUUUCACAGAAACACCCACCCUCACCUAUCCAAAAUAUCCCACACACAAAGUUGGAGGGAUUGAUAAACAACAGGAAAAGCCGCCCCACAAGUUUUUAUGUGGCAUGAAUUGUUGUUUAUUUAUCAGUAUUUCGAUGUGUUUGUUUGUGUUUCCGAUCCUCAAGUCCCUUACGGAAUCCCUCACUGAGUUCCACCCUAAAAAAAUGACACAUGUAACAAAUCACACGAGGUCAAUUGUAUUUUGCCCUCUAAACAAACUACUAAUUAAAUGCCAAUUGUAUUAUAAUAGGUUAAUGGAAAAGAAAAGAUUUAGGGUUGUUAGAAGUUUGGAACCAGGUUUUAGGCUGCUAGGUGAAGUUUUUAGUUUUAUAUAUUUUUUAAUUGAUUUGUAGUGAUCGUAUGAUUGGUUGGGAAGUCAAAAUAGCCUAGACAAGUUGUAUUGAGUAGGAAUACGUCUCGAGUUAGUAAGUGACUUCACAUGAUCCGUUGUUACGUACGCCAAGUUUUUAAAAUGAGACUUGAUAGGGUCUCCACAGGGGCUGAGGAUUGGAAGCAGUUUGUUUGCCCCUUUGUCUAAGUUGUCAAACUCUAUGUUUGAAAUUAUGAUCAAUCACCAGUCUGUCUAUGAGGUACGAUGGUUGCAAUUCUCGUGCUUUGAGAUGGACAAGGAUUCAGUACAGUUAUAUUUUGUGUGAUGCUGUCUAAUUAUUAUACAUAUUCAAAUUUUUUGAUAUAUAAAUACAUGAAAAUGUUGUAUUGAAUUUAUGUCAAGCAUUUUAUUCUUGUACAUCACUUUUACUACGAAUACAACAAUGCAAUGUAAUUGUACAUUAAGUAAUACAAAAAGUGUAACAAUCGGGUGGAAUUGCACGGAACCUUGACUGCACUAAGUCCUUUCCCCUAUUGAGAUAGUGAUUACACUAAGUUGACUAAUGAUAAUCGUAUUUUGGGAGCUGUAUUUGAACUCACAAUUCCAAUUGUAUUGGUUGGUCUUUGCCUGAAUUUGUUACUUCUCUUCGAAUGGAAGGUGAAAAGCAAACAAUAUUUAAUGGAUAUAAAAUAUAAAAAAGAAUUGUUGAAAAAUUAGUUGGCGUUGUUCCGCUAGAAUAAAAAUACAAACGUUAAAUAUAAAUAUUAACAAUAAUAAUAAUUAUUAUUAUAACAAUAAUAAAAUCAACUAUAAUAAAAUAGUUAAAAUAAUAAUAUAAUAAUGCGCAAAUGUGGAGGGUUGAGGCACGGAUAUCUUGCUUUCUUUAAGGUGAUUCAAACCUCUGCGGAAGAAUCAAUUCCGGUGCAGUAGAAUCUCCAACUUGUCACCCCCAAGAUAUAAUAGCCCAGUCACACUUGUUGACAUUUUCUUUAGGCUGCACAACUAAGAGAGUAUAGCUGUACAAACACUUUUUUUCUUACCUAACUAUGAGAUAGAAAAUAGUGAAUUUAAACUCACAAGAUAUAAGUUGUAGUAGUAAUAUUUUUCCAUCUCAACUAUACAUAUUUAUAGGUGAAGAAAAAUUAGACAAACAUAACCUAUACUACUAAUAAGACACUAAGUAAAUGCUGAAAUUAUUAGCCACUCAAAACACAUUGAAAUUUGUAUUGUAAGUUACAAAAACAUUAUAAUGUGUUUUCAAUCACAAAAACUUAUUGUAAUUGAAAAGCCAUAAUUUCAUAUAAUAAGUCUUUCGUCAAAAACAUUCAAAGACCAAUACAUUUCAAAAACAUUUACCAAUUUAUUCUCCUUAUAACUUACACAUUUAAUUGAGAAUAUAACUAUUUUAUUAAAAUACUCCAACAGUUGGUUUCCCAAUAGAAGUCUCGAUGGUGCUUCAUAACAAAUUAGCAACCUGAAUCUCUCCUGAAUUUUAUGGUCUACAUGAAAGCAUAUCACCAAGAAUGGUUAAUAAAUAAUUGAUCGGCCCCGUUGAGCAAACAAACCUUGUCGUGACACUAGGCAAUUGCAAGAUGCAGGGACCCAAACAUUGAGAUGUUACGCCAAGUCUCGUCUCCACAUCUGUGGCUCUAACCUGUAAAUGACCGUCACAUACGAGAGAAAACAGUGCGAGGAGAAAACUGCCAAAUUUCUGGGUAUUAUUCUUGAGUAAUGCAUGCCAUUUCAUAGCUAUAUCUUUCAGGUGACCAGAGCAUGUGCAAGGUAUUACUGUCAGACAUAAAUGUUUGUGAACGGCAUAGCUCAUAUAGUGGAUAAAUUCCCUCAAUUUUGGUAUUGAAGGUCUAUAUCUAUCAUUUGAGAGGAUUCAAGGUUUACGUUUGAAUGGUCAUUCGUGAAAUAAAGAUGUUACAUGCCGUACUCACAUGUGAGUCAAAUAAUAUCCAAUCUAUCAGGAGAAAUCAAAUUUUUUUCAUUCCUAUCAAAGAAACGUUUGUAGUCAAUUUGAGUUAAACAUUUUUAGCAGUUUAAUGAGAUAGAUUUUUUUUUCAUGGAUAUUCAUAGCAACUAGACCUGAAUUGGUAACAUUUUAUACCUGCUGUGGAUUUUAAAAAGUUGAUCAGUUUCUGUGCAGAUGCCGUAAUUUCUCCCCUUGUCCUGUCCCUCAAAAGUAAAUGUCAAUAAAAAGCUAGACGACAUCAGUGGAGAAGCCAGGAUAAAAAGCCAUGCAUAUGUUCAUAUAUAUCUUACUUGUCGCUUCUGUUUGUUUGUGGAUAGAAAUCCUUUCCCAGCCGUCCAAAGAGUGAAACCACAGGUUACAGACGAUUGUCCAAAUACAAAUUAUAGAAAGGAACGUGCGUCAAAACCUCCUGGAAGCAUGUCUUUGUAUUUUAGCCCAAAGUAGACAAGACUUUAUGAGAAAAUCCCCAAGGCAAAAAUGCACAAUAUACACCACACACACACACAUACAUACACACAUGGACACACAUAUAUAGUCCCACAUUUUGUGUUCUGACUUUUUUCCAUUUAAUUUAUUUACCGCCAUCAAACUUUGGUUCAGCGGCCACCAAAAAAGGAUUAACUCCCUUUUUAGCCUGUAGGUCGGGGGUUCGUACCAAAAGAGGAGUUAGAGCACCAUUUUGGUCUAAUCUGGUCUGUGUACCUACUAGUCUUUCACUACACUUUCCGAUUAAUUGAUUAACUAAUCCACUAAUAAACAUUGCAUUACCUCCUACUAGUCUUCCUUCGUUUGCAUUGUCUUGCCUCCUAGUUGUGGUUUUUUAGCAUUACUUUCUUGUCUGUACUACUAGUUUGAGGUGUGCAAGCAACCAAAUUUCUGGAGAUCCACUGGUAUAAAGUGUUAUAAAAUAAUAUUAGUGUGUGAGGUCCUUUGUAUAUGCCGUUAGAAGUUCCUCCCUAUUUAUAUUUUUAUUGAUCUUGUCCUUCCAUUUAAGGUCGGCCUCUUUUGAUCUUGUCCUCUUGCUCUUUUCGGAUUUCUCUAAGGUCUCUAAAGGCUCUUCAUUUUGUCUCUCUCCCUCUGACAACCAAACGCAGCAUACAGAGUAUAACUACUUUACUGAUUGAUAGAGGAAGAAAAAUAUAGAAUUAAUCAAAUUAUAAACAUAUAUCUAUUGCGUAGAGAAGAAUAAAAUCCGGAGAAGCACAAGACGAUGAAAUUUAAUCCUUUUGGAGUUGCCUUUUCUUUACAGGUCCUUUUUUUUUUUCCUUUUCCUUCUGUGCAACGUAGUUUCCUGUUGACGACUGAUUCUGUAUUUGUCCUGAGUUGGUUAGAGCACUAACACGGUUUUCUAAUUGGCUAAAUUCUAUUUUGGAUGCUUAAACAAUGGACGCACUUAUACUUUUUAAUCCUUAAACUUUAUUUUUGAAUAUUUUACUCUAUAAAAUUUGAGGUUCAUCUCAUUUUAGUUCUUAAAUUUUGAGCAUCACUUGUCUACCAUUUUGUUAGUUUUACCAAUUCCAUGGAACAUAUAUCAUACUUUAAAGGGUAAAAUGUUCAAAACUUAAGGACUAAAGUUAAUGAAUUUCAUUCUUUAGGAGAUAAAAUAUCCAAAAAUAAAGUUUAAAAACUAUAGUUCUAUAGUUUAAAGGUCUAAAGUAGAAUUUUGUCUUUCUUAUAAAUUCGUAAAGGGAAUCCAUGGCUAGCGCAAAGAAAUUAAGCCACCAAUAGAUCAAGAAUUCCUUUAAGCCAUAUGAAUUUAUAACAUCUUUCUACAAAAUGAUUGGUGAUUAUUGCCAAUCCCUGAUAAUUGAGGAACAUGGGAUGUUGUUGGGCUCUAAUACAUAUAUAUGACUUGAUUACAUACAAAAUAACAAUGACAUAUAACGUCUCAUAUAUAAGAAUAAGGGUUAAAAUCCGUAUGAAUGUAGCAUAAUCUUCGAAAAAUAUAGCAAUUGUAGCCCCUCGUUUUAGUUUCAUAACUUUCAAAUAUAUUCCUACUAAUCACAUACGAUUUUAUACACGUAAUUUUGCCAAACAGGUUUUUUUGCAUUGAAUAUCGUAUUAUUUUCAAACAAUCUUUUUGUACGCAUUAUAUCCGCCCUUAUUUUACUGACUAUUGGUGCAAUUUUUUUCCACGGGAAUUGCAGAUGCCUGAUCUCCUCAGUUGACAGUUGUGGGGAGGCGCCAAAGUCUUUCAAAUAAGGCAUCCAACGGCCAAACCUACCCUUCCUGAGUUCGUAUGAAACCCACUGCUGGUAGUUGGUAACCAACAUCUUCAUCACAUCUAUCUUUCCUUUUCAUCAUCAAAAUUUAACUAAUCUUGUUCCCUUUCACCUUCUCUUCAAACUUUCAAAAUCUCCCGACAACAUACUUAGUAACAGCCAACUAAUUAUCCUAGUUUUAGUAUUUGUGUGUACCAUAAAUAUCUGCUGACUCUGUAUUUUUCAACUAAAGCGUUCAUUCUGUGGGAAACACCAAAAUGCUCCACAUUUUCAACAAAAGAUUGCCUUCUCAGACAACAGAAGAAAUUCGCCAAAAUCUAGUCACUGGCAACAACAAUGCUUCGAGAAAUGGUCUCACAAAAUCAUUCUGGGGCCUUUGGCAGCGCUUCUUUGGAAGUAAAUAAGCAUUCGUCCCUCUGUACUUGUAAAUUCCUCUUUGUUUUGCCAUUUAUUGUGUUGGAUUUGAAGAUAGUAGUUUCUUCUGCUAAACUUAGUAAACCAGGGAGCGUAGUUGAUUAAUCACUGCAAUUAAAAUUUGUAAAUAUGAAUCUUUUGUUGUUUAUUGGGUUUUCUAGAUUGCAUUUGAGAUGGGUUUUUUCUUGAAACUUUUUAUAACAGAGACAAUUGAUGGGGGAUCGAGGACUGAAGGGGAAGCGAAGGUAUACUCGUGGCUAUAUGCAUUGGCUCAAUCUGGGAAGGAUUUGGUCUAUGAAUAUGUGCGAUCAACUGAAAGAGGUUAGACUUUUCAGCAAAUUUGCUCUGUUUUUGCUAGAAUAUUCUUUGAUUUAAUCUUUCGGGUAAUUUCAGAAAUCUCCCUCGAAGUUUCCAACAAUUUCACUUAGCAUUCCUGAACUUUGAAAAAUAUCACUUAUAUCCUCUACUUUUGACCUUUGAUAACAUUAUCAGCCCAUUUUAAGAUAUAUUAUUUUUUUAAAAACUCAUUUUUGGAUAGAGAAAUUAUUUUCAUUUUCAAAUGUGCCCUUUGUUGUCUUGCUCUUUUUCCAAAAUUAAAAGUAUAUUAAGAAAAGCUUGAAAUCAAUAAACAAAUAGUGUGUACGCGCAAUUUUAGUAGGGUACAACAUUAUAGUAGGCACUUUAAUGUAUACAUAAUUUAAUUUUUAAGAGUAUAUUUAAGGUAUUUUCAAGCCAAGUAAUAUUAUUAAUUUACUAUGAAGUGUUUUGCAAUCAACUUGAGGAGUUUUUCAAAUUGUUAGAAUUUCUGAAAACUGGAAAAGAAAACAUGUUUAAAAUUAUGUUUACAAACUCAUUUGAGAUGCUUUCAAUGACUAAAAACUCAUUUGAGAUGCUUUAGUAAAAAAUGUUUGUGAAUUUAUAAAUUUCAUAUUUAUUGUGUCAACUGAUGACAUGAAAACUAUUAAAAAAUCUUUCAAUCUUGUUAACAGUCUAUAAUUUUUAACUACAAAAUCAUAUCGGCCAAGUUUCUAAAGUUUAAGGGAUUAAAAAGACUAAUUAUGAAAACAAAAAAAGGUGCAUAGAAAAGAGCAAUAUUGGAAUGAAAACAUAUUCUCUAUCCAAAAAUUAGUUUCUUAAUAAUGCAUUAUUAAAAUGGGUUUAUAAUGUUAUGAAAAGUAAAAAAUAGGAGAGGCAAGUGAACUUUUUUCAAUGUUCAAGGGUGUUAAGCGAUAAUUUUUACAAACUUCAGGGGAGGUUUCUGAAAUUAUCCCUUAACCUUUUGCAGUAAAAGUUGGACAUAUUUGCCUACUUUUGAUUAUAUCAAUAGCUAUUGGAGGGAUGAUAUAAUUAAGAUUAAUCUUAUGUACACUGCCAAUAUAUUCAUCAUCAGCACCCUUGAAUGCAUGUCACUUAAUUCCAAUUUGAAUUUAUAUAUAUAUAUAUAUAUAUAUAUAUAUAUAUAUUUUACAUAUAUGGCAUACAUCAACUAGUGCUAGUAUAUACACUAUUAGUUAUUAGUUAGUGUAUAGAAAAUUAACCCCCAUAUAAUUACGUUACAAUUGUUGGAUUUACCAUACUUCAAUACUAAGCAAUUGAAUACAAUGAUAAACAUUAAACGUGUAUCAUUAUUAACAAUGACGAGGUUGGGGAGAAGAUAUUAGAUCCACGCAAUGAAUGUAUGCGAUACAUUGAGGUUCACGUAUUUAGAUUAGGUGCUCUCUCUCCCUCUCGAAUUUUGGAUGGUGGCUCUUAAUGGGGCAAAUUACUUCUAAUAUAAGCUGUAGUGUUAUAGAUGGGAAAGAAGACCAAGCCCUAAUUUCUGAUUUGAAUCCUCCCAUGCCCUACCUACAGCUUACAGACUACACUCAAAUAAUUUGACUGAAAUAGAGCUAGGUGUAGACAGCAAUAGAUUAUAUUGCAAAUUUGCAAUAGGUUUUACCAGUCUUAUUUAACUUAUUUUGACAAAAUAAAUAAUUAGUGGCAACCCAAAUAAAGGAAAUAUUUCUAACAAUAACCACUUCCUUUCCAAUGAACCCCUUAAAAUGAUACUUAAGCUGAUCUCCUCUCUACAAUUUCUUUCUUUCUUUUUUUUUUUUGUGGAUUUUAAGUACAAUAUCUAGUAGACAUUUGGUAGAAUGCUAGUGCUUGUCAAUUAGGAGCAUUUGGUACAGCAUAUAAGCCAUUCUCAUAUUGGUUCAGGUUUGUCAGCUCAUUUUCAUCUAUGGUUUACUGAUAUUCCUUAAGAAUAACAAAGUAUUCUAAUAGUGAUUUUGCACAUUGCUUGGAAAAUGGCUUGUUGUCAUCAGUUUUUAGACUCAAUUCACAAAUUUUCUCUGCAGGUUUGAGCUUCAGGGAGGCUGAAAGGAGACUGAAGGAAACCGGGCCAAACAUUCCAAUUCACACUAAAUUCCCCAGAUGGUGGCAUCUUCUUUGGAAUGCCUUAUUUCAUCCAUUCCACAUCAUCCUCAUUGUUUUGUCAGUUUUAUCUUACAUUGCUAGCGACGAACCAAACGGAUGCAUCAUGCUUGUACUAGUCUUCAUUAGUGUCUCCCUUCGAUUUUACCAGGUAUUGUCUAGUUUAUUGGUUCAAUUUUUCUAUGGUAGUUAUCAUAUUUUUCUUACAUGCGAAACAUGACACCUGAAGGUGUGUAUUUGUGAAUGUCAGGAAUACAGUAGCUCAAAAGCGGCAAUGAAGUUGUCUGAAUUUCUAAGCUUCCCAGUAAAAGUUCAAAGGUGCGCUGGUAGAACAGUUCAGACAGAAUUAGUUGUUCAAGUUGAUCAAAAGAAUGUUGUCCCAGGUGAUAUUAUCAUUUUUGAACCUGGGGACCUCUUUGCUGGUGAUGUGAGGCUACUAACUUCAAAAAAUCUGGUAGUGAGGUAUAGGCUAAAGGUUCUCCUUAUAAUUGAUACUGAAAUCAGCAGAUUUUGUAGCGUAAAUUCCGUUGUUUAACUCGUGAUACUUACUGCCUCAUGAAACAGUCAGUCCUCACUGACAGGAGAAUUUGGAGCUACAGAGAAAACAGCUGAUAUCAGAGAAGAUUCAAGCACUCCGUUGCUGGAUUUAAAGAAUAUAUGCUUCAUGGUUAGUCCACAAUAUUUCUUGCUCUAUUGUCUGCAUGAUGUUAUAGUAUGUAUGUUGCCAUAUGGUUGUUGGAGUAUAUAAGCUAUUUUGGACACAGGACCGGGGUCUACUUCUUGAGGAACAGAUUUAAAUGGGUGGAGUAUAUAAGCAUUUUUUCAUUUUUCUCUAGUUGGUGAGUGGCAACAUAGAACAUUAAAAAGGGGUGGUUAAUUCUCUACUUCAUUGUGCCUUCAGUGGUAUUAGUUGAUAGCUAAUAACAAAAGAAUUGAUAUAGAUUUAUUUUGCUUGUGUGGCCAGUUCUUAACAAAGUAGCUGAGGAGAGUAUGGGUUCCUCUUUUUGUCUUAGGGAACAACUGUAGUAACAGGGAUUGGAACUGGUCUGGUUGUCUCCACUGGAUCCAAGACUUAUAUGAGCACAAUUUUUUCAACUACAGGGAAGCUGAAGCAACCAGACGGCUUUGAGAGAGGCAUCCGACACAUCUCCUAUAUACUCAUUAGCCUCAUGCUUAUAGUGGUCAGCAUAAUAGUCAUCAUUGAUUAUUAUUCAUCAGGUGAACCAAGUGAGAGCAUACUGUUUGGUAUGUCAGUUGCUAGUGCACUCACUCCUCAGAUGCUUCCGCUCAUCAUUAACACUAGUCUUGCUAAAGGAGCACUUGCUAUGGCCAGAGAUAGAUGCAUAGUCAAAAGCUUAAGAGCUAUACGAGACAUGGGAUCCAUGUAAGAUGAAUUUACUUCAGCAUUGUCUGUGAAAUGUCAGUGCUCAGACUUGAUAAGCACAGAACUUGUUGAGUUGUUUAUCGCAAUUACUGUUGACUUCCAUUUUGCAUAACAGACUGUAACGUUUAUACCUUUCUCCACAUCUUAAGUCUCCCACAUCAAUUUUAUGAUGCAGAUGAUUGUAUGAAAACACAUGGCUGUUCUAAAUUAUUGACUGCUUUACUCUCUAUUGUAGGGACAUUAUAUGCAUUGACAAAACUGGUACUCUUACCAAGAAUACUGCAAUCAUGAUCAAUUACUUUGACAGCUGGGGCUUGCAAAAAGAGAAGGUCCUAAGACUUGCUUUCCUAAAUGCUUUCUUCAAAACACAACAGAGGUAUCCUUUGGAUGAUGCCAUAAUGGCACAUGUAUAUACAAGUGGCUUCAGGUUUCAGCCAUCUGAAUGGAGUAAGGUAGAUGAGAUUCCUUUUGAUUUUACGCGUAGAAGGAUAUCCGUUAUUUUGGAAACAAGAAUGACUGAAAAUUGUGUGAGCAACUACUUUACUGACAGAAUUGUGAUAACUAAAGGAGCACUGGAGGAAGUGAUAAAAGUUUGUUCCUUUAUCGAGCAUGUUGAUAGUGGUGAUACUUUGGCAUUCUCCGCUGAGGCCUAUCAAAGGAUCUUAAAUAUGGCAGAAGAACUAAGUAGUCAAGGAUUAAGGCUUCUGGCUGUAGCAGUCAAAAGGCUUCAGAUGGUGUGUGCAUAACUCUUUUCAUUGGUUCUGAUAUCUGUGCUUCUUGUUUGUUUUCAUUCGAUAAACUCCUCUGAUUCUUCCCAGUCUAUCAUUCAUAGAUAGUUUACACUUUUAUGCAAUUUUUUAUUGCUUCUUACUGAUUUGUCAUUGGCAUGGAGGAAAGUAGUUAACUUUUCUUCACUUAAUCUAAGAACAGCACGCAAGCUUCGAUCAUGCGUUGUUUCUUACGCAAUUUGCCUUGCCUUCAGCACAAAGUCUCUUCUUUACUCAAGUAUAUGGAAAUUCAGACAUGAAAACUUAUCCACAUUUGUGAAAUUCUAUUUUGUUGACCACUAUUCUGGUUCAAAGGUAGCUCUCUCUCCCUCUCUCUCUCUCUCUCUCUCUCUCUCUCUGUUCAGGAGAUAGGAUCAAAUUACAGUUAAAUGUUUGUGUUUCUGGUGUGCAACAUUUGGUACGAUGUUUGAAUAAAAUAUACCAUGCAUAUAUGACUGUACCUUACAGUUUUGUACCAAAUAAUGCUAAUCAGUGAAAUGCUAGAUAUUGGUCUAAUAUCGCUCAUAAAACUACAAGCAAGAUCAAAGUUUUGGUUUAAAUAUAUAAAGCAUUAACUGCACGAAUUACAUUUGAUAUUUUAGUCAACCUUGUAUCUACUUCCAACAGCUAUUGUCUUUCUUUCAGAUAACAGAUAGCAGAAGCAUGGUUUAUGAUGAACACAUCGAAUCUGACAUGGUUUUCUUAGGCCUCAUAACUUUUUUUGACCCACCAAAGGAUUCAGCAAAGCAAGCUUUGUGGAACCUAGCUGAAAAGGGAGUAAAAGCAAAGGUAUUAACAGGGGAUGCGCUAUCCCUUGCAAUAAGGGUUUGCAAAGAAGUUGGGAUUAGAACCACUCAUGUUACUACAGGCCCUGAACUUGAGUUACUUGACAAUGACUCUUUCCAUGAGAAUGUGAAAAGAGCAACAGUUUUGGCUAAGCUCACCCCAACUCAGAAACUUCGAGUGGUGCAAUCUUUGCAGACAGGGGGCAACCAUAUUGUAGGGUUCCUGGGAGAUGGAGUAAAUGACUCGCUUGCAUUGGAUGCUGCCAACGUCGGUAUCUCUGUUGAUUCAGGCGCAUCAAUUGCAAAGGAAUCUUCUGAUAUUAUCUUACUUGAAAAGGAUCUUAAUGUUCUGGUGGCUGGUGUGGAGCAAGGUCGGCUUACAUUUGGGAACACAAUGAAGUACAUCAGAAUAUCAGUAAUUGCCAAUCUGGGAAGUAUUGUUUCAAUUCUCAUUGCAACCAUAUUUUUUGGGUUUGAACCAUUGACGCCAAAGCAACUACUUGUGCAGAGCUUCUUAUAUAGUUUGGGCCAAAUUGUAAUCCCAUGGGACAAUAUAGAAGACGAUUAUGUCAAGAUUCCACAAAGAUGGUCUCUCGGAGGCUUAACCAUGUUUACAUUGUGGAAUGGUCCUGUUUGUUCUAUAUGUGAUUUAGUAGCUCUCCUGUUCCUUUGGUUUUAUUAUAAGAAGAAAUCAUCUGUAGCAGACAAUUUCAUCCAUUCUGCUUUGUUCGUUGAAGGACUUCUAAUGCAGACCUUAAUCAUCCACUUGAUUCGGACAGACAAGAUUCCGUUCAUCCAAGAGGUGGCUUCCUGGCCUGUUUUAUGUUCCACAGUUCUGAUUUCUGCAGUAGGCAUUGCAAUUCCUUACACACCUCUGGGAACAGUACUUGGACUGGUUUCACUACCACUAUCAUACUUUGGCUUUCUAGUUGUUCUCUUUUUAGGAUAUUUUAUUUUCGGACAAAUUGUUAAGCAAGCUUAUAUUAUGGUGUACGAGAAGUGGCUUUAGACAGCAGAUUCAGCCAAACAGGCGGUUUUCUAACAUCACAAAUAGUUGAAAGAAACUUAAAAGCAUGCAUUUUCAUUUUGUAUUCCAGUGUAUUACAAAAUUUAGCUACGAUGUUGUAACAAGACUAUUCCCCUUGUUGAUGGGGGUUUUGGAACAUUCUUUUUCCAGCAUCACCUUCAAAUAAUAAAAAAACAUUAGAGUGUGAUGCUUGUGCCUGAGCAGAAGAGGCAAAGAAUAAGCUACUUUCAGAUUUUGUCACUGAUUUUUGUGCCAUAACAGAAGUUUUAACACCAUCUCUCACAACAAAUGAUGUUGAAAGAAGCAGCAGCACACCAAUACAAGCAACAGGAUUAUGUUUGAAAUUUGCCUGCUUGACGUACAACCUGCAAAAGUAAUGUUUUAUGAUGUAGGCAGACGAUUUGAAUGAACAUAGAAAAACCAGUUUAGCUGACGCAUUUGAUCGCAUCAACUUCACUCAUUUAAGGAUUUGUUCAAUAGGGAACGGGCAAUGCCUAGUACUAUGUGCAUCCCCAAUACCGAAACCAAGUCAGAUGGUAGUGACUUUGACACACUAAUGAAUAAAUUUCAUAAAAUUGUUGCAGUUUGAUCAAAUCCUAGAAGAGAUUAAUAAUACGUGGAGAUCUUACCCAGCUGUAGUUGAAGAUAGUUGUUGCGGAUGUUCCACUCAAAAUCCCAGUGCAUCCUGUCAUUUUUGAGUGUCCAAUAAGCCCACCCAAAGGAAGCUGCAUUAUACACCUCUAACUGGGCUGUGCCAAAAUUUUGAUAAUCUGUUUGGGUUCCAGUGGUCUGAUUCCACUCAUUCACCCACUCACCUGAAAUCAGUUUAUUACUGAGUGUCAUGAUUCUGCAUCUUAAACUCCUAACAAGGUUCAGUUAUAAUAGUUAAGCUGAUUGAUACUGGUUCUUAUUACAACUACUCAAAAAAAGUUCAAGUUAAUUAAGUUAUCAACUCUUGCUAAGCUAAAACACUCAUUUCUUAUAAGGUACUACAAAUUGAGAGUCUAGACCAAUUGCAAUAGGCUAUUCCAAAGAAAAAAGUGGACAAGCCGGUAUAGUUGCUUACCUACAAAAACAAGUGGACCAUUGGCACUGUUUAGAGCUUGUAUUUGGGAUUCUCUGCUCUUGUAUAUGAAUUCAAUAUUGGCCAGUGUACUCAUGUUAGAAAAGGAUGGGUCAAACAUAUUGUAGUAGUGCAAAUCAACCACUGUGUUUAUUGAGCCUAAGUUAGCUUGAUAGAGUUCAAAUGGAUCUGCAUCUCCAAUUCUCUGGCAGAAUAUCACAUACGCACUGGACGAGUAUUUACGAACAAUCUGAUAUCCCUGCUCAUAAAAUGAAACAAGGACAUCCAAUGGAACUGUGGCAGCCCAUGGCUCAUUUAGAAGUUCAAUUCCCAGCAAGGAAGGAUGCUGGGCAUAUCUGCAGGCAUCAAAGUUAAUUACUUUACUAUUUCCUUGUAUUGUUUUAGACAAAGUAAUAAAUCAAAUGUACAAACACAAAGCUAGAUGGAUGAGGUAGACAGCACAGUAUAAAUUUGCGCAACCAUCAAAUUGUCAUCAGACAGAAAUAAGCUCUACAUGUUGAACGGAAGUGGUUGGCCAAUGAAGAGAGUUAGAGACAUGAGAAACAAAAUUACUGUCUAUCUCUAAUCAUACGCUCUUAAUCUUCUGUAAUAGAAAUAUUUAACAGAAAUCUAGAGUUUACUUGUUUCAUGGACUAAUUUUGAACGAGCAAGCAUUCCAUGGAGAGGGAGGUGAAGUAAGACCGAACUAAAUUUGUACAAUCAUCUAUUAGGACAUAAGAUGUAUGAGUAACAAUAACAUGUAGACUCUAGUUUUGGUUUCAACUCUGUUAAAAACAACUAUGAACUGCAAAGUGAAUUAAUUCUACCAAUUGAUAACUGAAGGAGGAAACAAGAAGCUGUAUGUGGCCUGAGCUUACCUGGAAGCGAGGAAUUCAAUGACAUCCAAUGUUUGUAAGAUGAAAUCUGGAGAUGGCCACCCCGUUGUACCAUCCCUACUGGCACUAUGUUCCAUUCCAUUUUGUGAGCCUGGAGCGGCAUGAAGGUCUAUUAUGCACUUUAUGCUGUAGGCUCUGUCAGAAAAAGCAUUUUGGUUGUAUGAAAAUGGUAAAUCUGAAUUUGCCUAUUUAUUGAAACAAAAAGGGAAAACAGACGACGUACAGAGCCCAUGAAAAUGCAUUAUCGAGAGCUUCCAAGCUGCCAGCAAUGAAAGGAGCUGGAGGAUUGGGAUCAAAAGCUAUCCACCAACCAACUGGUAUUCUAACAGUAUUUAUCCCAUUUCUGUACAGAAAGUCAAAAUCUUCGAUGGUGAUGAAUGUGUUUCUGUGCUUCUGGAAUGACCAUUUCAUGUAAGAUCAGAAAAGGGGAAGUCUUUGACCAGAAAAUAUUUGUUCCAAUAAUAGCAUUGGCGCUUUAAAUGAAACACUUUGAAUACAGGAUAUAUGGACAAUCAAAUAAGUAAUAAAGCAAAUAAGAAGAGGAAGACAAACUUCUUGUAGGACACCGUGUUCCCAUCCAUUCCUGAAUUAGAUUUCAGAAUGUCAUGCAAGUGCCUCCUAUAUAAUAAUGACAUUGUAAUACCAAAGACAGUUUUAUGUGCUAUUCACCAUAAGAAGUGGGAAUUGCGAAGUACGUCAGAAUAUGUGCAAGCAUUUUCUGCAGAUGAAGCAUUUAAUGCAGUUUCACCUCUUUAAGACAAAAAUAUUCAUUUAUGGAGAUCAUCCCAUAAUUUGACAUCUAGCACCAAUCAAGACAACAUAACUAAAGGCGACAGAAAAAAGAUUUAUAUAACACAUAGGAUCUCUAACUGAUGAUGGUUUCCUUAUCAAACCAGGAACGAGAUUGUUACCUUAAGAACCGCUUUUCCUUUAUUGUACCCAUAUCCAUUAGCAAGCUGGUAAUCACCAUGCAGGUUAUUUGCUGUUAUGGUCAUCUCGAAUGUGGCAGCAUUAUCAUCCCAACCAGGUGUUCCAGGAUAGUCUGCUGUGAGCUGGUUCAAGUUUGAAGCCUAAACAAAUGUAGCACAAAACUCUCACACUUUCCCUUUUAUAUUCACUCACUAAUACACAGGCUAUUUGAUCACUGAAAUAGACUGAAAACUCUAUUUGUCAGUAUUGGUGAUUCACCAGUAACAUUUCUGAAGAACAAAGAAAGAAACAACAACUUGUAUAGAACAUAACAAGAAAUAAAGCAAGAACUCUAAAAUGCCAAUCUCCUUGGUCAAAAUGUUGGUACCAUCCUAAGAUGCUCUAUGUGGUGUUAAAUCAUUUGAAUACUUUUCUCCAAGCAUGGAAAACAGAGCAAAUACAAACUUAUAUAGCUAUCUUGACCAUCUUUAUCACUUUCCUCAGGUUAAUGAUUUCCAAAAUUGUUUCCUAUAGUCAUAAUUGAAUCAUCAUCUCUAGUAAUUAUUGCCAAAACUUCUACACAAAAUCUUCUUUUGUUUACUUUUUGCCCAAAAUUAAACAAUUAACAACAAAAUUUGAAUGAUUACCAAAGUCAAGUACUAUGGUUCAAGAUGGAAAACAAGCUUUGCAUUGGAAAUAUUAAUCCGUCUAAAUCAGUAAUUAAAAACAUUUGACAACCAAAUGGCCGAUUUUGGAUAGAGAAGUUUAAGAAAAAAAAAAAAAAAAAAGAACCUGGAGAUAAGUUCCACUUUUAAGUUUAAUGUGAAUCCUAUUCUCCUUGUUUCUCUCAAGGGAAAAGGUUUCUGUAGCAGAAGCUGAUUCUGCACUGGCAGUCACCACACUUCCACUGCCAUUGCAAGUCAGAAAUUGGCCUUGAGAAGUACGAAACUGAAAGAUUGAUUCAGAGACUCUCCAUAACUGCUCAGAAAGAAAUCAUCUUGUCAAAUAAUCAGAAAUUUGCAAAUCCAGAUUUUUAUGGCAUAUCAGAACUUUAUUAUUUGGGGUACAUAAAAACUGCACAUUAAGCAGAAGCAUCACUACUGCAAGUUUCGUACUGGAUGAGUUAGAAAAAGCCACUUUGUUUAGUAACUGGUAUAAAAUAAUUCACUGCCUCAUGAUCUCAGAGGAAAGGCGUUUGCAAAUGGAUAUGGAAGGAGACGCAGAAAAGUAAAAUUUCCUGAGCAUGACUGUAAAUGUGAUCAACCUAACUAUGAAAAAUGUAUUCCUGCUGCUAAAGAAAACACAAUUCAGACAGGGAAAAAGCUUUAAAGCAAUAAUGCAAAUGGGAUUUAUCAAAUUACUAAAACACCAACUGGGAAACUUCAUAAACUCUCAAACUUGGUUACAAUGAAAUCAAUCAGCUUAUUGAGGGGGAUAAUUUCAAGAAGACAGGAAAUCAAGCUUCAAAAAACUAAAUUAGUCCUCUCACCCUGAAAGUUUCCCAUGAUGAAGGAGUAUCUCUAUCAACUGUAACAUUCAUCCCACCUCCAUUAUCAGCUGAGACAUACUUCUGCAACAUCACGGACUUUAAUUGCACCUCUGUUCCAUCCUACAUUGCAAUCAACACAUACUAAAUUAGUAAUUCCAAUAAAGAAACUAACUACAAACACAGUGAGAGUAAUAAAUAAACCAAAUAUCAAACAGAAUAACUUACAAGCAUUUCUCCAUUGGGAAUUCCGUCAAAAAGAGAAGGCUUUAUCCACCCUUCUAUUACUAACCAACCACCCAAGUUCACUCCUCUUACUUUUGAAUCUUCAUGCAGUCCCUCCACUUGAUUUACAAAAUUAUAACAAAAUUAACAACGAAAACAAGAAAACCAUCCACUAAGUUGUUGAAAUUCUAUAAUUUCUACAAUUCAUCUAGAUAAAAUUCUCAAAACGAAAUUCUUAAAGCGCGGCAAACCUGAGCAUGCAACGCAGAAAAGCAUCCAACAAGAAAGAAGAAAUGCAAUGGUUCUUUUGCAGAAAGCAAGUCCCAUGAAAAUGCAGCAAGAAUCAGACACUAUCGUCGAAGAUUUUCGAAGAAUCCAUCUUCAGCAGAAAGCGUGUAGAAGCCAAAUAAAGAGAAAAAGAGAAAAGAUUACUUUUGAAGAAGGUGGAGAAUCUCAACAAUACCUUCCUUAUCACUCAAUUAAUUCCAUAACUCAGUUUGCAGACAACCAUAAAAUGAUAAAAGACUAGGAUCUAACUUGGGUUUUCAAUAUUUAAUUGCAUUAUUAAGAACUUUCCGAACAAUCCUUUGAUCAGACGGGACAAGAAAAGAACACAUUUACAUUCUCCAGUCAGAGAAAGAAAUGUAGAAAUAGAACUGGAAGAGAAGUGUGAAUAUGUAAUGAGGCAAAGGGAUAGAGAACAGGCGAAAAGGGAGAAUAAAAAAGGUGGUAACUUUGCUUGAAGAUUUGGCUUUUGUUUCGAAAUCUCUUGAUUCUUGAUUGGCUAAGAAACCAGAGGUUACUAAGUAGCAGUAAAAUUGUUCAGAAAGUAAGCAUUUUUUGACCUUUUUUCUGUGGGUUUACGAUAGCUGGCGAGUACUGGUAUAACAGAGUUGGGAAAAGCCAAAAGGGAUACAUCUGUGUAACUUGUAUUCCUCAUUCAGCAACUUCAAAUAUCACUGCAUGGCUUCCAAUCUGCUUUCUGCUCGAGCUCUAAAGACUAAAGAGUGAUAGAUUCUACUAUUUUUCAAUUGAGAAUGACUUCGCCAACUUGCAAAUAAGAAUGUGCUCCUGCCCUGCUCCCACUGUUUUCUCUUUUUUUUUCUAAUUUUUUUUUCGCUUGCUGGAAUUUUUCGUUAUGAUCUUGCUAAGAAUAGAUGAACUAGUGAAAUAUCAAUGUAAGCAGGAUUCUUCAAAAGGCACCGGAUGGAAAAAAAAGUACACAGGUAAGAAUUCUUCCAUCUUACUCCCUUAGGACUUUUGUUGAUUAAAUUGAAUUUUCAAUGCUAAAGUAUCAUGUUGGUGGAUAACAAUAUCAUAAUUCUUUUAUGAGUUAACCUUGGCCUUGUCAUUAUGCUCUUUAAGACACAGAAUAAAAAAAAUAACAUGAACAUAAGUAAUAAAAUUCAAGAACAAUAUAACAAAUGUUUCCUCAAAUUCACUCUGCAUUGAUUCACCUUGGCCUUGUCAUAUUUUGCAGUGACUUCAUAAACAUCAUAUUUUAGUUCUUUUUUGUUUCCUGAAAAUUCAAUAAUUAUUAAUCGAUUAAUUUGACACAGGUUUCUCUCGAAUUCUCGAAGAAACACCAAUUAUGCUGCAAUCUGCAUUAAAUAAUUCGCCAAUUUUUAUGUUUGUCUGGCCUCUCCAAAUUCAAUUGGAGCCCAGUUUUUUCCCUUAAGGAUUAUGACUAAAAGCCAAGAGGAGAUAAUGUAUUUUACCGAGCUUUCCUUUCACAUCCAGUUGUAUGCCUCAAUAAGAAGCAAAACAUAAAAUCAUCCAAAUCUUUGCAGUACAGAUAACGAUACUAUGAACAAGACAAAUUUUUUUUUUUUUUUUUCUUUUGAUAGAUGCCCUAUCGUGAACAAGACUUUGGUUUUAUUGGUUGAUAAAUGCCCAUGAAAAUGAAAGGUAGGCAUUUCUAGUGACCCAAUCUUCCUCUCAAAUUUUUAAGUAAUUUGAUGUAUAUGCUGCACAAAAUUCUUCUGGCAACCAUCACACUUGCGUUACCUCUCCAUUUAAAUAAUUUUUUUUCCGAACAAUUAUACAUGGAUGUGUGCCCAACAAUCUUAACUAUUUGGGAGAAUUGUACCAAUUUCCCUUGCUUAUUGUUGAUGUGAAAAUUUAGUCCUAAAAAAAAAAGAUUAAUUUUAAUCCCUAACAAUAUAAAAAUGAUAACCUUUGGUCCCUUUUCAUUUUUCGAGCAAAAUUUGGCCGAUUUGUUUCGCGCUUACAUCACACACCCAAUUUUUAAAGGAUAAAAUUGGCAAACCACCCCACUAUUGACCAGAAAUGUAAGGGACUAACAGCGCAAAACUUAGUUAAGCAUUCACUAAUAAUUACAAAACCUAACCCCCCCCCCCCCAUUACCUGUUAUUCAUCUCAACCCAAAACAAAACCUAAUAGCAAACUUCUAGCGGCGGAAAUUGGUGAUUGAAUACCUACUAUUAGAGAAAAGCCCAACCAUAAUUUACCAUUAACCAGCAAUUCAAUUUUCAUGAAAGUGGGGCAGAAUUGCACCAAUCGUUGGAGAAAGAUGUUAUUACUAUGUCUAUAUUAUUUUGGUUAAGAUCAAGUAGUCAUGUGAUUGAGUGACAGUUGGAAAACUUUUGAAAUAGGAUUCCUAGGCCAGGAGGAUAUUUUAUACGGUCUGCUACACCAGUUUACGGAAAUGAAGAAAGAGAUGAGAUCAGAACGUUUGGAAAGGCUUUGAUGCCACGCCGCGCGCGAGGCGCCCAUUCGACUAGUAUUACAGGAGAACAGCCCGUUAUUAAUUGGGCCGAUCCUUUCCCGUCCAUCAUUUAGCUAUCUGCAAGCAAUGAUGGUUGGGUGGCCCGUUGGCCCAAUAGUAAAACAAUGGUUCCCCAAACAAAGUAAAAAAAGGAAAAAGAAAAAGAAAAAGAAAUAGUAGCAUAAGAUAUUUAGUUUCGUGAGGCCCUGUGUGCUGGCUGAAAGUUGACAAUUGUGCUGUCAAAUUCGGUUUUUCACUCGCAUGUAAAGACAGUUUUUGACCAAAAAAAGAAAAGAAAAGAAAAGACAGUUUUAAAUUUAAUAUAACCAAGUUGGUGAAAUGAUUGGCUGAUUUGCGUGUUAUAUGUUCAAUGUGCACGAACCUGGAGGGAAAGGGAAUUAUUCAAUUUUACGUUCUCUUUAGACUUUUCGCAUAAAUUGACGGCUCUCAGGGGCAGACACAAAGAGAUAAAAAGAUUUUGAUGAGGGUGUGAAUGGGAGAAAAGAUGGAGACAAUAACAAGGACGUCCCGUUGCAUACAUUUAUAAAAAUUAGAUACAUUACUGAAAUGAAACUAAAAGUCUGUUCCCCUCGUAAGCAUGGGGACUUUACAGUUUUAGCAUUGCACAAGAGUUAAAACCAUAUAAAUAUUCACUCCGUGAAUCCAAUGAGGGUAUGCAUUUGCCUAAAAUAUGUCGCAGGGCAUUCUGUACGCAUUGAUGGUAAUUUCAAAGCUCGUGAUCUAUUGAUUUGAGCUUAUGAUAAACAACUUAAACUUUCGCUAAUUAACGAUGAUGAGUGGAGUAACCCAAGAUGUUGUCAACGUAGUUGAAAAUUCUUAGAAUAUCAAGGUCUAUAUCUCUGAUAUCGUGACGAAGAAUUUCGAUUUCAUUUUUAAAACUAGUUGGCAAUGACCGGAGUAACUCAAAAUUUUUGUUAAUAUGAUUAAAAUGUCGAUGUGAGUCAUUUUAGUCUUUUGAUAUAUAGUUCAGCUCACGUCACGUAUGAACAGUAAAAUGUUGUUUUAGUUGCUUGUAGCAUUUGACUAUAUAUAGGCGUUUAUGCAUGGUACUCAGCUGGUAAAAAUAAUAUUAACUAAACAAUUGUGGGAUCUUCGAUUUGAAGGGAAUCUUCCAUGGACUAGAAAGAUACUCUGUAUGCAAUUGAGUACAGGUCACGAACGCUAGUUAAAGUUUUGAAAACUUGCAGUGAAGAUAGCAAGUUGGAGAAUCAGACGACUGUGAUUCAAACGCCAUAAUGAUGAAGAAGAAUGGAGAACCGCAAUAGUUCCAAGAUCCAAUUUUCCCCCCUGACAGUUAUAGAUGAUGACUCCUCUUCUAUCCUGCUACACUUGCUUCAAAAAAGAAACAUUAUAAUUUCCUUCAUCUCCUAAAAUUUUGCUUUGGCCGUAAUAGCAUUCGAAGCCUCGCUUCAAAACCUAAUCCGAAAGCAGAGAAACUGGUUUUUGCAAAGCCGCUGCUUUCAUGUGCAUGGGACCGUAGUGUUUCUUGGCAGCAGCCGAGGUCUUGGCCAGAAUGAAUAAACAAAGAACCUGUCCUUCUCAAAGGCAUAAAGGCGAAUGAACAUGUCACAUCCUAUUAUUCAUAGACUAAUUUCUUAGGAUAUUUUUUAUGUGUAGAACAUUCUCUGUAAGGAAGAGCAGACGAAGGCUUAACCUAACUUUGUACGUAUGAUUAUACAUAAUAAUAUUUUGUUGUCCUGUAUGUCCCAUCCUGAUGGCUAUACUUUCUGAUGUAUCUACAAAGCGUGAGACAGAAAUAAUAAAUACUCCAUCAUUCCCAAAUAAUGCAAAUAAUGUUAAUUGUGCAUGGCUGUUAGUGGUUAAGUCAUAAUCCUAGUUUUGGUAUUUCGAAUUGUUGUUGUGACUUUCAUUGAAACUUCGAAGUUUGAUCCUUUCCCUAAAAGCAACAUGUCAUCAAUCUUCCAUACGGGCAAGCAAGCAAUUAUUACUAGUACUAUUUUUUGGCUUAAGGAUUGCUGAGAUCAACAGUCUCUUUUUACAUGAUUGAAUGCAUGUUAAAUCACAAACGAAUUUGUUGAGCGAAUUUGGUAUUUUUUUUUUUGACAAGGUUUAAAGGACUAAUCAAAUUUUCCCAAAAAUUUAGGAAGUUACUUUAUCAUGCAAAGUUAAAUUCGUGGAAAGAUUUUAUUGCCCAUAGUAGCUUGUGAAAGUAUGUCAAUGGGUGGGUCAGGUCUUACCUAAAUUCAAUCCAGACACAAUAUUUUUGGAUAAUGUUUAGAUAUAAUUUCUCAAAUUUAGACUCUACCCAAAUCCAAACCCCAUAAGAGAGUCAUAAGCUUAGGUAAGGUUUGAUUUUCUAUGAUUCAUAUCUAAAUUUAAAUACAAAUCAGGCUCUACCCAGAUUCAUGUUGAAGUUUAGGGAAAAGAGAUACAAAAAUAUAUUUUUUGAAUAAGGCUAAAUAUUUAUAUAUGCUAUGGUUGUUUUAUUUUUUUUUUCAAGCUAAUCCUAAUUGGCAUUAUAAGUGAUACAAACAUUUUUCAGAAAAAUGAGAACAAGUAAAGGUACGUAUUUAAAUGAAAUACUAGAUGUGGAUGCAAAUGAAACUUUGAAAAUAAAUAGAAGUAGUUGAUAACACUUCUUUCUUUAAUUUCAUAAUAUUGGAUUCAAUUUCUUAAAUGUUAAUUUUAUUAUUUGGAAACAAAAAGUCAAUGGUAUUUAUGUUAUUUUUGAACUUUAUAUAUUUUUAAAAUAGUCUUACUUUAGUUCCUCAUUGUAUAUUUAGAAAACUAUCCAUAGAUACUCAUUGGAUACUCAAACCCAUAAAGGUCCGGGACUAGAUUUACUUUGUUAGACCCAUAAAGAUUUGGAUCCGGGUCUGAGUCUAGAUUUCAGUAAAUUUAAUGAAUUUAGAUCAGGAUUCAAUCCAAACCCCAUCCAUUGACAUGCAAGUUGUGACGAUAAUGUACUCCUUCCUAUCUCAUGUUCCUAGAAGGUGCAAACUGAGCAAUCAAAAUACUAUAACUCUCACAGAAAAAGCAAAAAAGUUAGCAUCACAAUAAUGUUAAGAAAAUGAUUGACAAAAGAAAAAAAAUAAUGUUAAGAAAAGGAAAACUAGAAAACAAGACUGUAGAUGCCGGAAUCUUAGGUCCGCAAUCAACGCUUGGGUUUAUGAUAGAAUAAAACCCGUAAUGCUAGAUCUAAAAUGUGAUAGUAUAUCUAUCACAACUACUAUUCUUUGGCAAUCUUUGACCAAAAAUAUAAAUUAGUAUCUAAAUUAGCUACUAAUCGAAAUAAGGAACAAACAUUUAGCAUAAAACUAAAGAAAAGCUUAUUUGCAGUAACACUGGGGCUGAAACAAUAUCUCUUCACGGGAUUCUAGUAUAAGUAAUCAAUUUCACGAGUUAAGUUUCGUAGUCUGCUAUUUAUUUUGAUUUGAAAAAUCAAUCUCAUCUUUAGAGGUGCAUGCAUUUAUUUUCUAGAUAAGCCCAGAAGAAUAUAUACAUAUAUUCUAAGGACUUUCAUCAAGAAAAGAGGUGGUAGAGGGUGAGACAGAAAAUAAGGUAGACCAGAAAGUUUUAGUGUUCCUCCUUUAUUGAGCAAUAACGGUAAACUAGAUUCUCUGCAUUUUGUUUUGUGAUGAUUCUUCAAACUCACCAUACCAGAUAUUGAUAGAAUAUUGCUGGCUUGUUCCAUAUUGCCACAAAAGUAAGAUAUAGCUGAAAAGUUAGAAAUUAGGCGAUGCUUAAUUAAAGUCAUAUUGCUAAUCAAGAAUUUGUAUCCAUUGAUCUUUAAUUUCAAUUUUUCUGGAAAAAAAAAAUUAGGAUUUAUUUAUGGAUAACUUUGUUUAGAGACUAAAGUGGACGCCAUGGCAGCAACUCGUAUAACACUACUGUUGUCUGUUCAAAAAUCUGGCACUAAACACAAAGGAAGGUUCUAAUUUACUGGCUUCAACAUGAUUUCUUACACCUUUAUUUUGAUGAACCAGCAAGAUGAAUUUCUCAUCAAUGUUUUUGGGUUCUUCCCCCACCAACCCUCCCUCCCCUCUGUUGAUUCAAAUAAGUAAGAGAUGGUAAUUAAGUGAAAGAUGCAUGGUUUACAAAUUACAGCAUAGAUUUUUUUUUUUUUUACUAAAAGCUUGAACAAGCCUAGAAUUAAUAUGUCGGGGAGCUAUCAAUUUUUCACUCCUAAGGAAGAAUGAAUCAGAUCUUCACUGUCUCAUAAAGUUGAGAAUACCGAGAAAAGUUAUAUAUAUAUAUAUAUAUAUAUAUAUAUAUUAAAAAAAAAAAGGCUCAAAAAACCAACGAAGAAUCAAUCUCCUCGUAAUCUCAUGCAUGCAUUCGAGGGUCAAAUGAGGCAUAUAUUGCAUGGUCAAGCUAAAGCUGAUUUCUACGUUUCUUAAAUCCAUUUUGCAACAUUUAUUAUUCCAAAGGCAGUCUCUAAUUGUCAUGUCAUUUUGCCACAGUACGUGCAUUUGGAGUUAUUUUGUUUGAGAGAAUAAUUAUAAUACUUAUUAAUAAUGCUGAUUACGUAUUAGACAAAAGGCUUUGAUGGGGAUGAACACUAGCAAUAACCAACUUGUUCAUAAAUACUCAGUCGGUAUCGAAUCUUUUAAACAAUGUUUUUUCUGAUACAUUCAAAAUGUUGCCAGUUAGAUGAGAUAUCAUCUUUAGUUGUUUAAACGUACCCCUUCUGAUGGAGACCGCCAAAGCUUGGAAUUAAUAACCUAACAUCAAAGGUUCGAGUGUUCUUGCUUGCUCAAGGAGAGAAAAUGAUGGCUUGCCAUCUUUGUCUCAUAUAUAUUCUUCGAUUUUUGUUAAUUUUUUCCGGAUAAUUUUGACUGUGCUAUGCUAUCCCCCUUUUUGCUUAGUCGUUGAAACGGGCAACAAGACAAAUUAGUAUUUUAUUCGCUUCUCAAUUUUGUAUUUGCUUGCAUUUCCGGCCGGUUUAGUGUAUACAAUUGGCUAGAUCAAGAAAUAUGUGCUAAUUUAUAAGCACAUGCUAGCUAUCAACAAAAAAAAAAAAAAAGGGUAGAGAACAACUUCAUUAUCUUGAAACAGGUGCUUGUAAUUUAAGCUAUUCCAUGAAUUAGAGAUUGCUCAUAUAUAACUUACUAAUACAAGAAUGUAUAUGAGAGUUUCUUAUCAAAUAAAAAGAACCUUCAGAGUCGUUUGAUUUGCAAUAUCUCUAUUACAUAUUAUGCAUUUUAACAAAAAAAAAAUGAACACGUUAUCUACUUUAGCACUGGAACUGAGUUGGAUGACCAUUUUAUAUGUCUCCCAUGACAAACAGGAUUAAGUUUACUAGCCAGUUGUUGAAUCUUAUAUCAAACUAAAACUGCACCUAAAGAUAUAAAAACUGAGUCCUCCAAUCCAAUGGGCAUAAUAACUAUUGGUUUGACUAAGAUUUGCACAUCCUACCAUAUCGUCAACCAGACCAUGCAUAUCUUUGAACAAUAUUCCGUUUCAACACACUGAAAAUUCGCAAAUCAAGUGGCCCUUGCUCAUAUUUUCGGAAAUUAUUAGGCUAAAAAGUGGACCUUGGUAAUUAUGCAUACCAACUUUUUUCUGUCAUCGAUGCAUUUCAUUAACAAAUCUUGCACUAGUAAGUUAUAGGAUUCAAUAUUGACAAAUUGCUGGAAACCAAAGGUUCCUGCAGUUUGGCCAAGUAUACAGUUGCGAAUCUUUUCUCCAAAUGGAUCCCAUUUAGUGGUAUAUAUACCGUAAAUCAAGCUUUGCUAUACCGAUUUUCUAUUAUGGUCCCAACUACAAUUUUUUUACUAUUUAAAAUAGGGCGUGUUAAUUAAUAUAAUAUAUAGAGAGGUCGAGACAAAAGCAAUGAAUAUAUCUAUUUCCACCAUGCAUGAAUUACGGGCCUUGCAAGAGGGAGUUAUGCUGCAUGUACAGGAGAACGUUCGACCAUUUUCAAUUUGCUUAGCAAUGAUCAGAAUAUUUGAAAUUGAGGCUAAUGCCAAAAGGUGGUACAGUAAAUGUAAGUUCGAGACCACCUCUAUUAAUGGCGAGUCAAUCUAGCUAGUAUUAAUGCCAUAAAGAACAGUCACUUUUUUCUUUUUGUCACAUUUUAAUUGCAGUUUAACCUAUUUUAUCUGUUGAACUGUAAAAGUGGAUGUCCAAAUAUAGAUAAAAGAGUAUGGCUAUGAUUGUGAUGUUCCUUUUCUUUUGGGGAGACUUGGCUCGGCACCAUAAUUAAUAAAUGUUCAAUGCUUAAGGGGAAACAAGAAAAGUUGCAAGACUAAUCAUUCAGGCAGAAGAUAGGGUCCGAAUAUCAUUGCUCGAAGCACAAAAUUCCAACCAAAAGCUACAAUUGAACUUUAGGAGCCGAAACAACUAGAGUAUAUAUUGCAGUCUGAUGAGUCAGAAAGCAGUUUUCACCCACACCCAAAAUUAUGCACCCGUUCUUUAUUACAUGUGCAUGAGUGAGGAAGAAGAAAUGUUUCUUUGAAAUUUGUUUAGCACGAAAAGGUUUGAUUACUGUGAAGACCACAAGCUAAAAGGUGCAUGUUGGUUCGAACACAAAAGCAGAAAAUCUUUGGAAUUGGCGCCCUAUCUAAAUUCAUGGUCUUUGUCAUUGAUGAUUGCAGAUUGGCUUUGGUUUUGAGGGGUCAGGACUCACAUGGAUUCUUUUUUCUUCAAUGCGUACUGACUUAUCUCUGUUAAACGUCCCAUGUCUGUCCUCAAAAUUACUGUAUUUAUAUUCUCUCUCUCUCUCUCUCAAGUCUUCUUUCCUUUAAUGAUUUAGGGCAUGCACAAACAUAGAUGGUGACCGAGUGAAGA